UUUUAACCUUUAUUUUUUAAAAACCAAACCCUAAAAGCUUUAUACUUUAGCCCCUAAAAACUUUGCAAAUCCGGCCACCGUCACUCUAUCAUUAAACUUGGUGUUUGGUCAUACGCAAAGGUGAGUCUCUAACUCCGCUCAGGCCACUCGAAGGCUUAGUCGCUCCACAACAUCAGGAGAACGAAGGGAGGAAACCAACCCCCUCUCUAGAUUCGACCUCGGAGGAAUCGAGGGGUCGUGAGUGGGGCGUGCGUGGUGACUGCUGGUGGCUGCUGCGCGAGGCAGAUGGAAACCCUAGGGUUUCCGAAAGCUCCAAAAACUUGAGCUUAUCGGGCUUGUUUAAUUUGGGUCUGUAUUUUGGGCCAGGCAAAAUUUGGGCCUUACAAUUAAAAUUAAUUAUUUGUUAUGAAAUUGACAAUUUAGAAUUAUUUUUAUUAGAUUUGUUAUAUUAAAGCGAAAAAGUUAGAUAAAUUUACGAAAAUGAAAUUCGUUGUAGAUUAAUUGUUUUUAAGCAGCGAACAUUUAAAAAUUCGGUUUGUGAUCCUUACGUUUUAAAUGAUUAAAUGUUGUAGUUAAAUUAUUUGUUUAGUGAUUCAUUGUAUUUGGAAUUUACCUCAUUAUUUUAUAAAAAUUAUUUUUAAUUUAUCAAUUUAAUAAUUGAUUAAAUGCUAGGUAUAGCUAGUUGGAAAUUCUUCAGAUAUAGCCUACAUGUUGUAGACUAUAAGGGCCUCCAUCAUGGCUUAUUGUUUAUUGUGUGGACUGCCUUGAGCGUUCGGGAGUAUUGUCAUUGUUACGCUUUGCGCAUUUGGUGUAAUGGUUGGUCGUUGAUAAAGUCAUGUUUAUCGCGCAAUGAAGUACUGUCAUUGUUGACACUUGCGCUAUUUUCAUUGAUCGUUUGGUGUGCGAUUGGACACUCGUAUAUCCAAAUGUGUUUCCUCCUUAUGUUAAUUAGACAAAAUGGACCUUGAGAAUUUAAUCUAAACACUAUUAUUAUUUAUCAAAUGUCUUGAAAGUGUUUCAUUGUUAUUUUGAAUAUUAUUUUGUGACUGUUCUAUGAAUUUAUUGUGUCUAUGAAUAUUGCUAUUGAGUGUGACUUUCAUUACUCGAAUUAUUGAAUAAAUAUAUACUAUAUAUGUUUGUAUCUUAUUAGAAUGUUUUUAUUUUAACUAUAUGCAUUGGUAAUUGAAAAUGUACCGGAUCACCACUAAGUUGUAAAAAGUUUAGCGCUUGGGUUUUUAAUUUCAUGCAUAGGUUACCGAUGGUUCGUAGGUUCAUGAUUGAACAACAUCGCCAAAGAGUCUCUGUAAUUCUUUUUCGUAAAGAUCCUUUAAUUAGUAAAGUUUAGCAUGUACUUAGGAUUUGUUAAAUUGUUCGGUUUAAUUACUUUUUUUUAGAACUUAUUGAGUGAUUGAUCAUUAUUAAAUUAUUUUAUUAUUUGAAUUUACUUGAAUGUUUAAAAUUUGCGAUUUUAUGUGCAAUUGAUUAAACGAUUGAUUAUUCAAAUCACUCUGACUGCAACAAUGACACGUCGGAUCAAUUUUUAGGAUGUUACAUUCUUGGACCCCAUGCCACCAAACUUUUUGGCCAAACAUAACCUAUCCCAUGAAGCCUAAUGCAAACUAGCAAAAUUACUAGACGAGUUCAUCAUUCAUUGAAGGGCCUCACAAGUAUUCAGAGGAAGCAAGAAAACACCCAUGUAGCAAACCGACAGAGCUUGAGUGAUAGUUUUAAGCACAACUUCCUUUCCUGGGUGAGAUAGGAAGUGAUUCUUCCAACUAAACAGAUGCUUACAAAGCUUGUCUCGGAUAUAAGAAAAAACUUGUCUCUUUUUAUGAUUGCUGAGUGAAGGGAGACCCAAAUAUCAACUCGUAGAAAAAGAAGCAUCCACGGUGCCAUAAGAUUAUUUGUUAGCAAAGUAUUAGAGCUAAACACGAUCCCCGACUUACUUAGAUUAACAACUCGAUCCAAAGUUAACUCAUAUGUGAAUAAAAUCUGCUUCACCAACCGACGCUCAUAUUCUUCCGCCCUAAAGAAAAGAAAGGUGUCAUCGAAAAACAACAGAUGAGACACUGAAGGGCUAUUACGACACACCCCGAGCCUACACUUGGUCGCACAGAGAAUAAAUAUGUAAAGAAAAAGUGGAUCACCCUGUUGUAAUCCCCGAGAAGGCAAUACCGGCCGGAGAUGAAAUAUUUAACAAUGUUAACGCACAACACCAACCAAUCAACGCAACGCAAAUCAAACUUGAACUUAACUAGAAUGCAGCGAUGAUAAUUAAUCAUUAUAUUCUUUGUCUUCUUAUUCGAAAUUCACCAUUCUAAGAGUUCGUCCCCAUCCUUUAGCCGAAAAUCUAUUAAUAAGCUUAGGUCUCCCUCUUUCAAUUUCUUCUAAACCUUUUUUUUAUUUUAUUACUUUCAAAUUCUGACUUUUUAUUCUUACUUGUUAGAUUUUGGUUACUAUUUAGGGUUAAGUGAAAUGUGUUAAGGUUUUCUCAAUGCUAUCAAGGGGCAUAACUAGGUGCAGGCAGUGUCCCAGCCUUCUAAAAUAAAAUUUUGUUGUUUAAGGUCUUUAAAAUUUUUAAAAUUUUAAAUUAAUAAAGGUAAAAUUAUAGUUUGUACCCUCAAAUGAUAAAAAUUUAAUUUAAUCUUUUAAAAAUUAUAAAAAUAUAGGCUAUUAAAAUGAUGAAAUUACAUUUUUACUAUCUUAAAAAUUACAAUUUAAUUUCGACCUCCCUAAAAGAAUUUUCUGAUUUUAGGCCUGUUACCAAAACAAACAAAAACAUGGGAUCAACAUGAUUAGCAAUGGAAGACUCGGGAUAUAAGGUUUAAAGAGCAUUAUUAGCUCAAAAAUAUAAAAAUGUGACUAGCAUCAAGAUGAUCAUCUUCCACAAAUGCUCAUUACCCACCAUUAAAUUGUUUUUAACAUGAUUUAGGGAGUUAACUCUUGUGUUAUUGAAUUUUACUACUAACUUUGAAGUUUUAUUAAAAUUUGCCUCUAGUUUUGAUUAUUUUAAUUAAAUUUAAUCAAUCAAUAUUAAUUUUGAUGAUUUGAAAAUAUAAUUUCAUAAGAAAAAUUUUUCAAAUAUUUCAUUUUUAUAUUUAAAACUAAUUUAACUUAUAGAUAUUAAAAAUUAAUAAAUUAAAUUAUAAUUUGUAUUUAAUGAAAUAAAAAUACAUAUAUACUAAAAGAAAAAAACUAAGUUUAUUUUUGUAAAAUCAUCACUUUUAUUUAAUUUUAAUAUUAUAUUAAUUAACUUAUUAUUGUAAAAUAUUAAAUAAAAAAAUUAUUAAAUUUUGUCUUCAAUGUAUUUUGAAUUAAAAUUGAAUAGUAAAAUUCAAUAAAAAAAAUUAAGAGCAAAUUUCGAUCAAAUAAAAGUAAAGCAAAAAAAUUCAAUGAUAAAUUUAUUUCUAAUUCAUAAAUACAUUGGCAAAUAUUAUAAUAGCAAUUUUCGGUUUCCACUUAAAAUAUAGUGGUAAAUUGGCAUAUUAGCCUUUAAAUUUUGUAACAAUAUUUUUAUUGGUUUAAAAAAAUGUUAUGGAAACAAAUAUAAUAAUUUUAAUUUUUUAAGUAUUUAAAUAUGUUUUUCAAAAAUAUGCUGCUCAAAACUAUUCUCAAAUUUGUAAAAUUUUAAAUUGUUACUAUUUUUAUUUUACUUUUGCAACAGUUUUUUAUAUAUGUUCUUUUUUUAUACAAAAUUCUUAGAACAACUCCUAAAUCAUAAAUAGGAGGAUAAUGCGUUUUACCGUACUUGAACCUACUCCUACAUUGACAACAAUACCCAUAUCAGUCGAGCUAAGACUCAAUUGGCAGUUCAAAAUAUAUUAUGAUAAUAUAUUUGUAACUUUAAACAUUUUAUUUAAAAAAAUAUAGUCUUUUAAUCUCUCUCUUUCUUGUACAUUGUUUUAAUUUUAUUUUAAAUAUUUUAAUUUUAAAAUCCAUUUUAGAGUUAUAUUUCAUUUUCCACAUGACUUAGGUUAGUUUUAAAAUAUUUUUUAUUUAAUAUUUAAAUAUGUUUAUAGUAUUUAAAACAGUUUUUAAAUAUUUUUAUUAAAUGAUUGCAAUUUGUAGCUUGUUUAAAACAUUAUUUAAUAUAUAAUUUAUAUGGUUUGAAAUUUUAAUAAUAUCUCAAAAUUGUUUAUAAAUUAUUAUUUUUUAAAAUUUUUUAUAGUUUUUAUAACAGUUUAAAUACAUUUAAAAAAAUAUUCUGGUAACGUAUUUGUAACAUUAAAUAUUUUAUUUUAUAAAACACAUUGUUUUUAAAUAUUUUAAUUUGAAAAUCUGUUUUAGAGUUAUAUUUCAUUUUUUAUAUGAUUUUAGGUUAAUUUUAAAAUAUCAUUUCAUUUAAUAUUUAAAUAUAUCUAUAGAAUAUAUUAUGUUUAGUAGUAUAUUUCUAUUUUUUUAUAAAAAAUUUAAUUAUUUUUUGAAGCCAGAAAAUUUAAUUAUUUAAAAAAGUUUUAAAGAUGUUUAUUAAAUUUAAUUAUUUCUAUUCUAAAGGGCUUGCUAUUUCUUUGUAACCCACCCUAGUGGAUAACCGUCUUUAUUAAAUUUUAGGAUGCAUUAGAUGAUUAUUUUACAUCAAUGUCUUCGGGAAUUUAAUUUUUUUUAAUAUAUAAUGGAAUAUAAGUUAAUGGAGAAAUUAUGUUACAAAUUCUUUCCUUGGUCCAUUUUUAAUUAUUUAAUGAUAUUUUAAUAAUUUUUUCAUACUAUUGACACAUUAUUUUGAUAAUUUUUUUACCUCAAAUUUCGAACCCUAAAUCUCGAACUUGAAUCUUUAGGGUUUGAGGUUUAAGGUUUUGGGUUUAGAAUUCAGGAUUUAGGUAAAAAAAUUACCAAAAUGAUGUGUCAAUAACAUAGAAAAAUUGUUGAAAUGUCAUUAAAUAAUUGGAAAAAAAAAUACCAUAAAUGAUGUGUUGAAAAUGAUCCAUAAAAUAAUUUCUCAGUGUAAUGUUGUUAUAAAAUUUGUUAUUUUUAAUAUGUGAUGUGGUGUAAAUUAAAUUAUUUCGAAUAAUACUUUUCUUUAAUUUAUUAUUUGUAAAAUGUGAUAAGAUAAAAUAAAUGAGAUAUUAAUAAAAGUAAUAAUUUAAAUUUGUUAGUCACAUUUCUCCCAUGUUUGAUAUAGUUUAUUGAAUGAAUUUAUUAAAUAUUAUCAAAUUUAAAUAAAUAAAAAAGAAAUUAUAAAGAAAAGAAAAAAGGAAGGAUGGAAGUUGAACCACCUGAAAGAACAAAAUUCCAAAGCCCAAAAACGUUGAAGUUGCCUUAUAAAAAACCACAAAUCUUAUAACAUAUUUCUCAAACAACAAUAUUUCAAAAAACAAUUAAAACAAUAACACAAAAGCUAUUUUAUACAUAUAUAUAUAUAUAUAUAUAUACCGUAAAAGCAACGUAAAUUGAAAAGUUUAGGUGAAAAGAUUUAUUCGCUCCCUCUUAAUUUUAAUAUUGAGCAAAUUAGUCUCUAUUUAAAAAUUGAAACAAUUUAAUCUUUAUCAAUUUCAAAAUUGAGUAUGUAAGGACAAGUAAUCACAAUAUUAAUUUUUUCCUCAAUUUUGCAUAAAUUUUAUCAGUAUGAUAACAAAUCUAGCUCUUAAAGUUUACACAUUCUAUCUAUCUAUCUAUCUAUCUAUCUAUCUAUAUCUUUGACGUUAGACCUAAUCAGCGCUGCAACACUUGCCUAGAAAGUGAAAAGAUUUGAAUAAAAAUAUAGGCUUGAACAAAAUAAAUAAGGUCCAUUUAGAAAACGGGUCAGACCUUGAGUAGGACAUUUUUGGCUCAGGCCCAACAUGACCCAAAUUUGAUAAAAAAAAAUUGUUCUUGUGUUGUUGUUUUGCUAUCAUUUUGCUAUUAUAUUGCUACUAUUUUGUUGUUAUUGUUUAGAUAUUAUACAAUUUUUGUUUUACUGAUACUACUUUAGAGGCAUUUGGUUGUUAAGUUGUAACCAUGUUAGUACUAUUUAAGUAUAAAAACUUUUUUUUACAUAUAUUUUUAAUCUGUUGGGAAACAUUUAUUUUAAUAUUUUUAGUCUAUUUGAUGUAUUAUAUUUUUAAAAUUUAUUUUUAUAUAAAAAACAAUUUUAAAUUUUUAAUACUGGCAGGCCGAGCUCGAGUUUAGGGUUUUUUAUCCGAGCCAGACUUGGAUAAAAUUUUAAACCCAUUUUUCAAGGUGGGUCGAACCCGAACCUAAAAAACGGGCUUGAUUUUUUGCACUGGCCCAACCCAUGAUCAUCUCUAUUUGAUGUGAAGUUUUUUUAUAUAUAAAUAAAAAUGAUGCACAAUUGAGUAAAAAUAUUACUUGUGUUUUAUUUUUUAUAUUUAUUCAUUUUCGAAAUUGACAAAAAUUAAAUUGCUCCGAUUUGUUUAAAAAAAUUAAUUUGCUUAAUAUCAAAAUUGAAAGACACUAGAACCCCGUGUGUUAGCCUAAUGGUCAAAGUGUUUACCAUUUCAAGUAUGACCUAAUUUCAAGUUGCGUUGAUUGCAUUAUGAUUAAGAUUUUAGACUUCUCUUAUAGUUAAAGGAAAAACAUUCAAAGACACAUGUUUUUAUAAAAAGGUUUAGUUUUUUUAUAAGACAUUAGAUUUUGCAAAUUCAAAGCUUAAACUAUUAAACAUUCAUGUUUGUUUCUCCUCAAAUUCCAUAAACUCAAACAUUUUAAGUCAAUUAAUUUUUUUUAAUAAAUAUAAAAUAUCUAACUUUCCUUUGUUGAACUAUAAGUUCAUAAUUGCAAUACUUUAGGAAAUUAAUUAUAUAACAUUAAUUAGUUUUCUUUUAUUAGGAUCUACUUAUCUCUAUUUUUGGAAAAAUAUUAAUUUUUUUGAAAUUUUAAUAAAUCAAAGUUUUGUACAUACAAGUGAUAAAAUUAUUAGAUUAUGAAAAUCUAAUCAAAAGGUCAAAAAAAUUUAAAAAUCAAUAAAUCUAUAUUUAAAUUUACUGUUAAACUUUUUUAUAUAUUUAUUUUUUAAAUAUUUUAUCAUAUCUUAUAAAAAUGUUAUGGAGUCUAAAAGCUCUGUUAUUUGUUUUCUAAAUAUUUUGUCAUAAUUUAUAGUUUUUCUUUUAAAUUUUUAUAAUAUUUUAUUGAUCAAAAUUUAUUUAGAAUUUUUUUAACUUCACAAAUGAAAUUAAAAAAUAAAAAUAAAUAACACAAUGAUUUCUCAAUUUGCAUCUAUUAAUAUAUUAAAUGAUAAUCCAUUUAAUUUGAGAUUAGAAUUUGGUGCAUUAACAAUGUAUAUUUUGAGCUCCACAGUUAGAGUUAAAAAAUUGUCACGUGUCUCGUUUAUUUUAUAUAUUUACUUUUUAAUGUUUUAUUAUACUUUAUAGGACAGUUGUAAUCACUCCGAUUUAAAAGCUAACGGUGUACCAAACAUUUUCCUCUUAAUUUAAAAAAAAAAUUAUCUUAUAUACAACUCGUGGAGGUUUUUUUUAUUCCACAUGUGAGUUAAGGCUAUGAUAAAUAUCAAAUGUUUUUUUUAAAAUUAUUUAAUUAUUAUUUUAUUAAACCCUAAAAAAAAUUAAUAACAUCAAUCCAAACUUACUUUCGAAGUUUUUUUACUCUAACGGUGUAUGUUAUAAUUAUACAUAAAAAAAUUAAUAUGUAAAUAAUACAGAUUUUUAGGCAUAUCUAAAAAUAUCCAAAAUUUAGGUAUCAAAUAAUUAACUUAAUUAUAGUAACAAACUUUUCAUAAAUCAUAAUAAAAUUAUAGUUGGCCGAUUUUAUCCUAAAAAAUUAUUAUAUGAAUAAAAAGAUAAUUUUUUUUGAAUAGAUUUGUGUAAAUACCUUUUAAGAAAUUACAACGUAAAUUUUUAAAAUUUAACUGUUUUUUUAAGAAAAAAACAAUUUAUAAAAUAUUUUUACACUCAUAAUAAUAUAUAUAAAAAAAAUAUUUACCCAUAAAUAUGAUAUAAAUCCUUUUUAAUAUUUAUCUAUAAAUAUACUUACUACUUAGGUCAUUUUUAAAUUCUAAAUUAAUUAGUUUAAUGUCGAUUGGUAUGAGUGUUCUUGUUAAUAUAGGACAACGUAGGUUCAAGUGUGCUGAAACAUAUUAUUCUCUUAUUUAUGAGUUUGAGAGAGACUAUAAGUAAUUCUAUAUAUUAUAUCAUAAAAACAGAUAUAAUCAAAAGUUAUACUAAAAUUAUUUUAAAAAAAUUAAUUAGUUUAACCAUGGGAAGACAAAAACUUUAAAAAGGAAAAACUUAGAAGAAAGGUGAGAUUCUUUGAAACCAUAAUAAUACUUAGAAGAAAGGUGAGAUUCUUUGAAACCAUAAUAAUACUAAAAAUUGCCAGCCUAAGUAAAGAAAUCUCAUUGGCAGCAUGGCUGCACACACAAGCCAAGUGUUAGGGGUUUAGGUCCAUUUUUUCUAACUCAAACAGUUAAAAUUUAACCCAACCCCACCAAACCCCUCUCCCUUUUUUAACCCCAUUCAAUGGUUUAGUCCGUUUUUUCCUUCUUUUAAAACCUCUCCCAAUUUUCUUUUCUUCUUCCACUCUACCCUCUUUUGGUAAACAACUCUUAGCCACCCCCUCCCCCCAUUCACCUAAGCUCACCAUCUUCCAUCAUUACUUAUAUAUAUACAUAUAGAAAGAAAAGGGUUCUUAUUUAUGUUAGCCCUUUUUAAUAUACUUAGUGGGGGGGGAAGAAAAAAAAAUGAAGAGGUCACCGAGUUGUUCUUCUUCUUCUAAUUCAUGCUUUGCAUUGCCAUCACCAUCAUCAUCAUCAUCAUCACCGUCACCGUCUUCGUCAUCAUCAUCAUCUUCAUGUGAGAACCCUCAUGAUCUAUCAGAGAAACCCAAGGCUAAAAGGGCUAGAAAACAUCAAAACACUGAUAAUAAUGCUUGUUUGAACAAUGCUAACAACAAUAGCGGUAGAAGGAGCUCUAUUUACAGAGGAGUCACCAGGUUUUCUUUCUUUCUUUCUUUCUUUUUUUUAUGAAUUUUGAUUUUGGGUCCAUUUGCAUUGCAUGUAUGAAUAAUUGAAUCAAAUUGAUUGGUAUUGUUUUCUAAAAAAAAAAAGGCAUAGAUGGACUGGGAGAUUUGAGGCUCACCUUUGGGACAAGAGUUCUUGGAAUAAUAUUCAGAACAAGAAAGGAAGACAAGGUUAAUUUUUUUUAUUUUAUUUUUUAAUUUUCAGGGGAAAAAAUAAUCAGAAAAAGGGAAAUUCAAGUAGAUCUAUACAGUUUUUUUCAAGUAUUUUAAUUCUUAUGUUUUCUUUAUUUGUUUGAAUUUAUAUUCUGUGUGAACUGACUGUGUUUGUCCUUUUUUCAAUAUUGUAAUCUCUGGUCAAUCUCAACCUUUAUUUACGCUUUUGUUGCCGCCUCCAUAGUUUAUUUAGGUAAGUCCUUCAAAUCUCUACGUAUUUCAUUCUUUUUAUUUUUAUUUAUCUAAAAUUUUAAAAAAAAGGGCUUGAUACAGUUCGCAAAAUCAAGCCUGCCUGGCUCGGUUUUGAGUCAGGUAAUUGAUCGGACAUGCAUUUAUACUUGUACUUGAAAAUUAUACUAUCUCUUAAAAAAUUAAAUAAAUUAAGGUGUUAAAUAUAUUAACAAUGAAUUUCAUUUUAUGGAAAACAGGGGCUUAUGAUAGUGAGGAGGCAGCGGCUCGAACCUAUGAUCUUGCGGCUCUCAAAUAUUGGGGGGCGGAAACGAUACUGAACUUCCCGGUAUUUAAUUUAAAUGAUUAAAUAAUUAAUUAAUUAAAAAGAUGGUGGAUUUGUGAAAAAUAUUAAUAUUAUAAUAUGAUGAUGAUGCAGAAAGAAAGAUAUGAAAAGGAGAUGGAAGAAAUGAAGAAAGUGACAAAGGAAGAGUACUUGGCGACUCUACGACGUCGCAGCAGUGGGUUUUCUAGAGGAGUUUCUAAGUAUCGUGGGGUAGCUAGGUAGGUAAUUUUAAUUGAUUUUAUAUUUGUUUAAAAUGGACCAUUUUAUGUGAUUCAAUGAAAUAAAAAAAAACAUUAAAAUCUUUAUGUUGGUUGUGUUAAAUCCUAAAUCCCACGUGGGUUAGCUAAAAUCAAUUAAUUUCAGUGGAUCCUCUUCUACAUUUUAGGGUUUAGGAAUAGGAGAGGCCAUUAAUUAAAAUCAAAAUUAUAUGUAUUGAGAUUAUAAAUUUUGAUCAUAUUUUUCAUAAUUAAAAAAAUAAUACUUUUUAACAUAUUCGAAUUCAUGCAAUUUUGUAUUUGUAAUAAUAUUUAUGUUAAUCAUUCUAAAUGGGUGGAAAAAUGCUAAAAUGAAACGGAAAAUUAUACAUUUAUUAAUAUUAUAAUAUUAUUAGGGAAGUGAAAGAAGUUGGUAUUGAAUUGUGUUUUGACUAAUAUUUAUUUGGUUAAUGGCAGGCAUCACCACAAUGGGAGGUGGGAAGCCCGAAUUGGUCGAGUUUUUGGGAACAAAUAUCUCUAUUUAGGGACCUAUAGUAAGCUCUUUCUUUCUCUCUCUUAAAACUUAAAAUUUUAGAUAGUAAGACUAAAACUAGAUGCCCCUCCCAUGGCCCUAAAAUUUAAAAGUUUCAAUUUUGUCCUUUUCACCUUUGAUUAGAUGGAAAUUUUGAAAUUUUAAACCUUUUUCAAAAUUUAAUAAGCCUUUUCAAAUACAAAACCUUCAAAUUUUAUAAUCUUUUCUUUUUCCUAAACAAAACUUCUAGUUUCACCCCAAAUUCAAAUAUGGGCUUUCACUCAAACCUUUAUUAAACAUGCUCACACUUUCUCUUUACAUUUUCCGAUGCAGUGUAUUUAGCUUACUUUUUGUUUCAUAUUACAGUGUUAUUAUAAUAUUUAAUCUCAUCACCACCGUUAUUUUUACAUUAAUAGCAAAUAAACGAGCCGUCCAUUCAAGCUCAUCUUAAAUUUUUUUUUUAAGGUUUAUGAUUGUCUUCCCUUUUUAAAAACCCAAAACAAUUCCCUUAAAAUGAUAUUUUUGAUUUGCAUCCAUAAUCUUGGCAUUUAAUAUAUGGUCCUAACUUUUUUAAUAUUAGGGUCCAAUGUCAUUGAUCACAAGACACCAUGAGCCAUUUUGAUAUAACUGCUAUGUAUUCAAUUGAUAUCUUUAUUUCUAAUUUGGGAAGGGCAUUUCUGUGAUUAUAAAAUUGCAUGAAAAAUAAUGGCAGAAUGGGCACGUGACCAUUACUCUCCCAUUAAGAGAUUCUGUUUCCUUUUAUAUAUUAUAUUUUGCUGACUAAGAGGCAGCAGAGAUCACGUGCCUUUGUGAUAAGCUUAGAUUGUGGCUUCCUUUAGGUCACCUAAUAGCCUAUAAUCCCUUUAGGUUUGCUAGCUGGCUAUUAGUGAUUAGUAUAAUUGUAUGAAGAUUUGCUCCAACAUGCUUAACUUGGGUUUUUAUAUUUUUUUAAUAAAAUUAGGUUAAUAGAUUUUCUCUUUUUAAAUUUUAAUAAAUUAUUAUUUUUAUUUUUAAAAUUAUUCGUACACAUUAGAUUCAAAAUCCGAAUCUUUCUUGUGUUUGAUAAAUUUUUAGAUUGGUUGAGAUUUUGUUCACUAAUUCUUUUUUGAGUAAUUAUGAAAUGAAUUUGGACCUUUUCCCCCUUUUUUUUAAUCAACUUUUCAACUACUUCAAAGCUAGGGUUGAAAGGAAGACAAGGAACCCAUGCGUAUCCUUUAUUUUUUCCCCCCUAAUGGUGUCUACAUUCUCCCUAUAUAUUAACAAUGGGGAAAUCUAGGUUUACUUAAUUUGUACAACUUGACAACCUCAUCGAGCAGUUAGGAUUUAGGGUUUCAUUUGAUAGUACAACUGGACGUACCUCUCACCAUGUUUUGAAACAUGGAGUGGGGUUGAUCCUGUUGAUGCGGAGCGGAAGGCCUUGGCCUCCUUUGGCCCUAUGUGGUCAAGUUCCCUGUAUCAUGCUGCCAAAUGGUGGUAUUAGGUCACCAACCAUAUCAACAAAAACGUUCAUUGAGAUGGUUACUUUUUCUGUAGCAAAACAUGAUCUUCGCACUCUCCCCUUCAAUUAUGCCAACAUGUUGCCUCUUAAAAGUUUGUCUGGAUUUGGAUGAUACAUAUUCAAACUCGAGGUUGAACAUCGGAUCAUGUGUUGAACACGGAUACUUUAGGGGUAAAAAGGAAAGGAGUGCAGACAAUGUUUUCAUAUUUUAGUCUGGAAAAAGCUUAAUACAAAUUGUCAGUACAGUAACUAAUUAAGAUCUAAUGUCAGCAUGUGAAUCCCUAAUCUUAUCUUUUCACCUGCAAUACUUUAAAAGUUUGAUCUACUUUAUUUAAUUUAUUGUUAAAUGGUAAAGUUUCUUUGUUCCCUCAGAAUUUGUUUAUUUAUGCUCUGUUUUAUUCAUUUAUUUAUUGAAGAUACACAAGAGGAAGCAGCAGCAGCAUAUGAUAUGGCAGCAUUGGAGUAUAGAGGGGCCAAUGCCGUGACCAAUUUCGAUAUUAGCCAUUACAUUGAACGUUUGAAGCAGAAAGGAAUUUUGUUAGUAGAUCGAACGGAAGAACAAAUUCCCAACCCCGAUGAAGCUCGACGAGUAGAAUCCAAAGAAAAUGGACCACAGCCGCUGCAGGAGCAGCAAGAACAGCAGGAAAAACAGGAACAAGAAUUGAACCAAGAAGAGGCCGAAAAAUCUCAACAUUUUCAAUACAUGCAAAUGCAGCUUCCUCUAUGCAUUGAUAGUCCGAUGACAACAAUGGCCGGUAUUGAGCCUACUGAUAGUAAUGAACUAGCAUGGAGUUUCUGCAUGGAUUCCGGGUUGACAUCGUUUUUGGUCCCGGACAUCCCUCUCGAUGGAACCGCUGAAUUGCCAAACUUGUUUGAUCAUGAUGCGGGAUUUGAGGAUAACUUCGACUUGAUAUUCGACGUAGGGCCGCCUAACAAAGAAGAGGCUAAUCGGAAAUGCAUGAUGGAUGAAGAUGUGAUUGGAGUCGGUGUUUCCAUGAACGUGGAAGACGAUAAUAGGAAGGAGAGAUUGUCAUCACUGUCUUCAGACUCUCCGUGUUCAUCGACAACCUCGGUUUCUUGUAACUACUCUGUUUAAUGGUUGAUGUUUCGGGUUAAGAGUUUCGGAUAAUUCAGAGUUUGUUGUUGGAAAUAUGUUGUGGGGUGGAUGGAUGCCAAAGAUUUAAAAUAUCUUUGGUUUUUGUUGUUUGUUUUUGUUGUUUUUAAUGCAUUUUCUUCUGUUUAAUUAUAUUGAAAAAAGGAAAAGACAACUGUUUUUGUUUGAUCCCAUAAUCCAAUCAAAUACAUUUUGAUACAUUUGCUAUGUCCUUAAACUUGUGAAGGAAUUAAGCAAUAUAUUACACAAAACGAAACUACAAGGGUUUCUUCUAUUCGAUUCUUAUCCUGGUUAUGGAGCAGUUUUAAAGCUUGUGAUCAGUUAUCUAUCUCUUUAAUGGGCUUACAGAAUGCGGAAAAUUAAUUACAAGACCUGCUUCGAUGGAUACCUUUAAGAAAUAUAAUAAAAAUUACAAUUACAAUUAAUGUAUUCAUAUAACUUAUAAUUAAUGUACAAUGUACUAAUAAUUAAAAUAUAUUUAGACUAUUAGUGUUGGUAUAUUCCAGUUGCACCACAUGUUACUUAACAUAAUCUUUUCGCUUUUUAAAUAGGAUUUUCCCUGCUUAAUGGAUAAGCAUAUACCACCAUUGGAGAAAUUUUUUUCUCACCUUAAAUUCCAAGAUUGAAUUUACGCUAAUGGAAAUCACAAAUUUCAUACAUAACAGAAUGAUAUGGUAGAUCUAUCUUUUUUAGAUAGUGGGCGGACGAACUCCAUUCUAUUCAUGACUUUGAAUAUGAAUGUCAAUCACAAUAAAGAUCCAAGUGUUGAACUUGUCAAGUCUCGAAAAUUCGAGCAUGAGGCUAUUGUUCAAAACUGGACACAAAUAUAUAGAUUUUAGUGUGAAUUAUUUAUAAAAAUUAAUUGGUCCAAACAUCUCCAAAUUAUGAUUUUUAUUUUAAAUUGAUUUUUAAAUUUUAAAAUGUUUUAAUUACAUCCCCAAACUAUGAAUGUUAUUGAAAUAGUUAAUUUAACUAUUAAAUGACACGUAAAAUCUUAUAUGAUAUAAUUUGAAAUUAAAACUUUAAAUUAACUUUUAAAUUAAAAACUAAAGAAAAAAUAAACUGUAAAAAGUAAAGGGAACGAUAGUUUUUAAAAGCGUUGAAAACCUCUAAACCAAGAUUUUUUAUAACUUCCAUUUUUACAAAAUUCAUUUUUCUUUAAAUAUUUUUAUUUUAAAUUAUGUUACAUAAGAUUUGAUGUCUCAUUUAAUGGUUAACGAGUUUAGUAACGGAAUGAUCUUAUUGAUAUAACAUCGAUAGUUUGAUGAUAUAAUUAGACUAUUUUAAAGUUUGAGGACUAAUUUAAAGUGAAGGUCAUAGUUUAGGGGUGUUUGAUGCAAUUAACUCUAUUUAUAAUGCCAACUUUUAAUGAAAAUUGUUGGAAUCAUGAUAUUAAAUGAUUGGGUAAUCUACCUAGUUGGUCAUCCAAUUUUUAGAAUGCUUUUUUUUGUCACCCAAAAUAAAAUAUUUUCAAUUUCGUUACCUAAUGUUUAGGGCGCUUUAUUUUAGUCAUCUAAGUGUUAAAUCUCUAAUGGCGGUUGAUUGUAUACGGCACAUCAUACUUAUACUUUCAUUUUUCUCACCCAACUUCACCAAAAAAGUAUAAAAAAAAUGAUGGGUUAACGUGAAAAGGUGGUAGAAACUAAAAUAAUGCAUUAAAACUUUGUCAAAUUAUACUUGUUUAUCCCAUUUUCAAAAAUUCUAAUUAUUUUUCAAUAUUAAAAUUUUAAAUUUCAAAAUAUCAAAAUCGGUUAAAUAAAUUAUUGGAUUUUUUUAUCUCUUAAUAGUGUAUGUUGAUGUGUUACUAUAAUAUUAAAAUUAAUUAAUUUAACCUCCUUAAAAUUUUAAAAUUUUAUUUAAUAUUUUCAAAUUAAAAUCAACCCACAUAAUUCAUAUUUAAUAACUAUCUACAAAACCCAAAGUAUUUUUAUUAUAUGAUCUUGAAUAUUCCAUGCUAAGCUAGAAGUAAAAAAAAUUCCUUACAAUUAAUUUAAUUAAUUAAUUUUUCUUCCAUUCCAAAUAGAGGUGUGCAUGGACCUGGCCAGGUAGCCCGAAAUAUGGGAUGGUUUGAGCAAAAAUAUACGCCCGAAAAAUGGGCUUGGGCAAAAAAAUAAGGCCCGUUUAAAAAAUAGGCCGGGCCUCGGGUAAAGCAUUUUUGGUCCAGGCCCGUCCCGAAUUCACUAAAUGAAAAAAAAAUCUAUUUUUUUAAUAUUAUUUUCUUAUUAUUUUCUCCCUAUUUUGCUACUAUUUUACUAUUAUGUUGCUACUAUUUUGUUGUUAUUAUUUGGAUAUUGUUAAAUUUUUUAUUAUUUUAAAGACAUUUGAUAAUUUUGUUAUUAUUUUAGAGGCAUUUACUUGUUAAAUUGCAUCUAUUUUUGUGUUAUUUAAGUAUAAAUAUUUUUUAAAAUUUAUUUUCAAUUUGUUGAGAAAUAUUUAUUUUGAUGUUUUUAGUAUUUUUUAUGGUUUAUAUAUAUUUUAAAAUUAUAUAAAAAAUAAUAUAAAAAUUAAUAUAGGCAGGCCGGGUCGGGCUCGGGUUUUAACAUUUUUAUUCGGACCGGGCUUGGGAAAAAUUUUAGGCCCAUUUUUUGGGUCGGGCCAGGCCUGGGCCUAGUAAACGGGCCUAAAUUUUUAGUUGGGCCCGGUCCGAACCCAACCUGGCCUGGCCCAUGCACACCUCUAAUCCCAAACAAACUUAAGAUUAAAUCAAUUAAUUUAAUUAAUUUUAAUAUUAUAGUACUAUAUCGACUGACACUAUUAGGGGAUGACAAUUUUCAAUAAUUUAUUUAAUUGAUUUUGAUGUUUUGAAUUUUAAAAUUUCAAUUAUAUAAAAAAAAAGAAAUUUAGAAAUUUCGGCAAUGGGAUAAACAAGUACAAUUUGACAAUUUUUAAUGCAUUAUUUUAAUUUUUACUACUUUUUCACUUUAACCUUAAUAUUUUUUUACCUUGAUCAAUACUUAAAAAAUGAUAUUUUUUUGGUUAACCAAAAUGAAAGUGUAAACAUGAUGUGGUGUGCAUAGUCAAUCGACGUCAGAGAUUUACCACUUGGAUAACUAAAAUGAAAAAGCCUUAAAAGUUGGAUGAUAAAAUUGUAAAAAAUUCAUUUUGAGUGACCAAACUAGAAGAACCCUAAAAGUUGGGUGACCAAUUAGGUAGUUUACCGUAAACAAUUUUCAAUGAUUUUAGUGUGGAUUUUUUUAUAAUACCAACUCUUUCUUUUAAUGAUUUAUACAUAUAUAUAUACAUAUUAUUCUACAUGUUCGUUUUACCAUCCAUAUUUGAAAUUCAUUGUCAUCUCCCUCAAUAAUGUCCUUUCAAGGUCUGAAAUUGUAAUCUUUUAUUGGGAGUACAAUAUAUUUUAUCAUUAACAUUUAGAAUGAUCCUGAACAAAUUGAUGUCUAGGUUCACUAAAUCUAGACAUCAUUUUGCCUAGAUUCAUCUUGGACAUGAAAUAAUUCUCAUAAUUUUUCAUAAAUUUAAAAUUUUUAAAGUUUUUUGAGAUUUUUUUUAUUAAUACUAGCUAAAUGUUAUAAUUUUGGAUUGCCACGUGUCAUUGUAUUAUUAGUUGUCAAUGCCAUUAUAAAAACCCGAAAGUUAGUGGUGUCGAAAAUGGUGGUUUGAAACUCUAUUUCCGAUAUUCAAUUCUAUAACAAGUAUAAAAUUUAAUUAAAGUUUUGUCUUCUAAUUUUGUCAAUCUGAUAGUUAAUUAAGGUACAAGUGUUUCGACCCUAAAGUUAGUGGUGUUGGAAAAUGAGAUAUUGGGACCUUGUUCCUGUAAACUAAGCCCGUAUUAAAUAUUUACGGAGUUAUUAUAUGAGUGAAUUAAAGUUUGGAUAGGAAAUUUUGCUGAAUUAAUGACUAAUUGAGGUAUAAUGACUAAAUAGUAAAAAUAUUAAAAUGACUUAUAUAGUAAUUAAACAAGGUUUGAAGUGACAAAUUAACCGGUUUACCCAAUUAGUGGACGGUUUGGUGGAUGGAUAGAAUAUUAUAAUUUUUUUAAUUAAACUAAUAAUAUAUGUAUAAAACAUAAAUGGAAAAAGGUGGUCAUCCAUGCAUUUUACUUUCUUCUCCACCGAAAUCACCAAAAUUAAAGAAGGGAGCCAUUGUUUGAAGUUUUAAAGGUUCGAUCCUAUGCAUGAUAAGUGUAAUUUGGUUUGUUUCUUGUAAAUUUUAUGUUUUUGAGAUUGUAGAAGCUCGGUUUAGCUAACCCGGGCAUAAGUUUCCAAAACUGUUAAAGUUUCUAAAAGUUGUCAUUGAUGAAUACUUGAUGAAAUUGAUGUUAAAUUAUUAGAUUUUAAGCUUAGAUAUGAAAAGGAUUAAUUUGUAAAGUGAAAAUUGUUAGUUUUGAAUAUAAUGAUUAAAAUGUAAAUAUUUUUAAAUUGACAUGAAAUUGCUAUAAUUAUUGAUAACAGAGGGUUGUUGAAAAAUGAAAUUGAAAUCAGAUUGUAAAUCGAAGCUCAAAUUUGACACCAAUUACACAUACUAUACUUUUAAUGACUUUGAAUCCAAAGUUCAAUCAAUUUCUUAUAGAUGACUCUCAAUAUGAACAAUAUACAUGCAAGAGUUAGCAUAGAACUCACCUGAUUCUCACCUAUUGCAGUUUAAAGCUCUAGGUCCAAAUAUCCAUCACGAAUCAGUAGCAAUCACCUAACGCGAAGUAAUUACUGAUCAUAAAAGAACCUUAGCCUCUAGAUCAUCGAGGUAGGAUACAUUCAGAUUUAAAGAAGGUUUCAGUAUAUACUACUUAAGGAAAAGAAAGAAUAAGAAAGAAUAACCCCUCUCAAAACAUAUUCUCACAUAUAAAUAUGACUCAUCUUACUUAGUAGAAUUUAACAAGUGUCAUGCGUAUUAUACUUGCAUUCUUAUUGGCUUAUAAUUUUCGAGAAAAAUAUAAAUAAGUUCCCUUCAUCAAACUUACCAGGCUAAACUAUAAAAUUGGUUUCUAGCCAAAUUACUUAAAAUCUAAAUAGCGCAGUAUUCCAUACAAUUUAGGCGUACUAUACUUUUGGCGAACACUAUCCCAUAUUUUCCUUUUAUCCCAUAACAUAGAUGUUUCCUUAAUACAUGGUAAAAUAUUAGAAAAUCAACUUCUUACUUAAUUUUAGGGCGAUUAUUACAUGCCUACACGUAUACUCCAAAAUAAUCUUUUGGGCAGAUAAUGCUACGCCUGACAAACUAUUUACUACUAUUCAUUGAAACUUUGGAUUCGCUAGAUCUGGGAUGUUACAUUAAUAUUGUAUCGAGGUUAUCAGUUCAGGCUAAACCAACAAUACAUAUAAAUUGAGAAUCCAUAACAAAUGUUGGAUAUCAUAUAACCAUGUAAAUCCCUAAUUAUUUCCAUAUUUGACUCUAAUGGCAUGCCAUACGUAUCCUAAUCUUUUACUAAGUUCACACAGGUAUUAUUACUGUAAUCAUUCCAUUUCAAUCCUUGUAAUAGCAUAUACAUGUCAUACUAAUCUUAUAAGCAUUUCAUUUCCAUUUCGGUACCUUGUACCUAUUCAUAAAUACCAUACCUUUUUCAUACUUUGCAAGUUUAGUCAAUUUGAUGCCAAAAAUCACCAAAUUCACAUUUAUAUAAACUAAUAAACAAAAUGAAUACAACUCAUUCAUAACAUGAAACAAAGUAAUGAGUUCCAUACGAACUUAUCUAUACAAUAAUUCCAUUUAAUUUAUUAGUUCCAAACAUUUUAUAUCAUCCUAUUACAUGAAUGAAUCAGUCCAAUUUUAUUUUCUGGAUGCCCCUAAAGUUUUGCAUUUUAUUCAAUUUAGUCCCUAAAAUUGAAAUUAUCAUAACUUUCAAUUUCAAGCUUUGAUUUCAAUAUCAAUCUCAAUUACAUCCUUCUAAGACCCUUUAUUAUAUAUUAUUAUAUAAAUUUUACAUUAAUUUGAAAAUUUAUAAACUUUUGUCCUUAUGUUCAAAAACUAACAAUUAAACAUUACAAUCUAGUCCUUUUUCACAUCUAGGCUCAAAAUCUAUCAAUUUAAUAUCAAAAUCUUCAAGAAAACAAAUAUAGAAACUUUUAAAAACUUUAGAAAUUUCUUAAAUUGGUACAUGGGCUAGCUAAAUCAAGAUCCCACAAUAUCAAAAACAUAAAAAUUACAAGAAAAAUGACUUGAAAUCACAUGCCAAUCAAGGCCAAAUUUUGAGAAAUAGCUUCCUAGAUUUUAUUUCAUCCUUGUAUGGUGGAGAAGGAAAAAAUUAGAGAAGAUGAAUAUUUUUUUUAAAACUUAUAUAGCUUAAUUAAAACCUUAAUUAAUUGAAGUUAAUUAAUUAAACCUUAAUUAAGUAUAUACUAAUCAUAAUUAACAAAAUAUAGUGGAUGAUAACAUCAUCACUCACUAUUGAAUAAAAAAUGGUUUAAUUACCAUUUUUAGCUUUUAGCAACUUAAAAAUUUAUAGUGAUUGGAAUUUUACAAUUUAGUCCUUAUACCUUAAUUAACCAUCAAUUCGAAAAAAUUACUGAACCAAAUUUUAAUAUAUUUCUAUGAUAGCCUCAUAAAUACUAAAUAUUAACAUUUACAGACUCAAGUUAUAAAAAUGGGAUUCCAAGGCCAUAUUUGUCGAUACUACUAUAAAUCAGGCUGUUACAAUAGAUUUAAAGUUUAAAUAGCAAUUAAGUCUAAAAAAAAUUCAAGUUCUAAUUAAGUACAAGCAUUCAAGUUUAGGGGCAAAGCCUACAUUAAUUCUUCUAUAAAUUUUCAAAUGGUGAUUGAUCUUUGUUUAUUUCAUGCCUUAUAGAAGUUCAAUUUGUAACAAUCCAAUUUUCAGUGGUGUCGGAAACAGUGGUUUGAGACAGCUAAAUCCGAUGAGUGAGUUUGAAAUUUUAUUAUUUAGUGUUUAUGAGUUAAAUGUGAUUUUAAGAUGACUUUUGAAAUAGUGAUUUGUAUUUUAGAAGAAAGCGUUAAGUUAAGUGGUUUCGAAAAUGAGGUAUCGAGACCUUAAUUUCAUAAACCGAGCCAUAAAUAUUUUUAUGAAUAUUACAGAGUGUCAUUGAGUUAGUAUUAAAGUUUUUUUAGAAAAUUUUAACAUUUUGAUAGUUAAUUAAAUAAAAAGGACUAGAUUGAAAAAGGUGGAAAACUUGUUAAUUAAAGAAAUAGUGAUUUAAAUAGCCAAGUGGUAAAUAAUGGAGGACUAAAAGGGUAAAUAGACAUGUUUGGAAUAGCUUGGGUGGCAUAAGCAGAAAAAAAACAAUAAACUUAGGUGAAAUAAGGGCAAAAUUGUGAAUUUUAUGAAAUUAACUUAAAUAAGUUUAAUUCUAAAGUUUUAUAGGCUAUUAUUCUUUAAUUUAUCAGCCAAAAAUGUCAUAGGAAAAGAUUUUAAGCUGGUUUUAUUUAUUUUACUUCAUGUAAGUUCAAUUCUUGCUCUUUUCUUGAAAUUUUUAUGUUUUUGAGACUUUUACAAUUAGGUCCAACUAUCUAUUUCAUUAGUUUUUGAUUUUAUGGGUAAUUUCGAAAGUUACCAUUGAUGAGUGUUGGAUGUUUGUGAUGAAUUAACAUGGAUUUGGAGUUUUAAUUUUAUUAUUUGUGAAGUGAAUUGAAACUAAAAUAUAUGCUAAAGAAUGAAUAAUUUUAUAUUUUAGAUCAAGAGCCUGAAGAUAAUCGUGAAAAAGGAAAAUUAGUAAAAUAGUCCCUAAACUACUACAAUUCCACAAUUUAACUCAGAUAAGUUCGUAUGGUUAAACUUUAAUUUUAUUUGUUAAAUUUGAUGAAUAUUAAUUUGUAUUUAUUCAUAUCAUUUUUGAAAAUAAAAUUAUUUUUAAAGUUAUGAAAUUGAAUUGAAUGUUCGAAACGAAUGGAACGCGGAUUGAGUACAAUCGUUUAGUGCAAAGGAGAAAUUGAUAGCAAAUUACCCAAGUAAACUGAGGUUCAACAUUUGUUGCGAACUCUCAUGUUUACUUUUCGUUUAACUCUCAUGAGCUUUCGUUAACUCAUAUGAGUUUCAGUUUAACCAUAUUGGGUUUUCGUUUAGCUCUUUUAAGCUUUAGUUUAACCCUUAUGGGUUUUUGUUUAGCCCUUACGAGCUUCUAUUCAACCCUUACUGUUUUUCGUUAGCACUUAUGUGCUUCUGUAUAGCCUUCGGGCUUCUGUAUACGAUGUAUUCAUAUCCGUAAGACGUUCUUUGAUUUGACAAGGUUGCAAAGUGAUAUAUGGAAUUAAUGUCUGAAGAUUGAAAGUUAUUUUGAUAUCGAUAUAAAAUAAAUGAAUUCAUCAAUUGAAGUUGUGUUUGGCAGGAAUAAUAUAUUGAAUGAUUUACUUAAAUGAAUUGUAAUAGUAUGUUCGAUAAGAUUUAUGUUUAAAAGUCGAUGAACUUACUAAGCUUUAUUAAGCUUACUUGUUUUUUUAAUGUCUUUGUAGAUUAACGUAAAUCAGAAGAUCGGAUCAACAUAUCUGGCCACACUAUCCAACUUGCUCUGGUAGAUUUUGCUAUAUAUACUAUGGUUUAUAUGCAUGUAUAGGGAUUGAAAUGGUUGUGUAAAUGUCAAAAAUUACAAUUUUUUAUGUUUCAAGUUAACUUAUAUAUGAAUAGUUCUAUCAUGUUUGGUAUAGUGUUAAUGUGGUUAAUGGAUGGAUAGUUCUUAGGCUUAGUAAUGAAUAAAUUGGUAAAAAAUGUUGAUAUAAGUAGUUGCAUGUGUGAAUUGUUUCAUGUUCUAAUUAUAAUGUUAGAAUAUAUGUGAUAGUAUGACCAUAUUAAAGUUAGGAAUUGGUUGUUUUAAAGAUCUUGUUAUGAUUUAUAUGUAUGAAAUUUGGUGUAUGUAGGUUAAAGUUAAGAAUAGGUGAGAAAAGAGGCCAUAAAAUAACCUAUUUUCGUCCACACAGACAGAGACAUGGGCAUGUGUCUCAACUGUGUGUGACACACGGCCUAGCACAUGGGCAUGUGGUAUGGCCCUGUGUCGCCUGCAUAUUAAAAUUGAGAAACAGAAUGCCCAGAUUUUUGCACAUAGCCUAGCACACGGGCGUGUGGCUUGGUUGUGUGACCCCUGCACCUUCCACACGGCCUAGGACACAGGCAUGUGGCUUGGCUGUGGGACCUAAGUCAGAGAGUUACACGGGUAUGGACAUGGGCCGGGACCUGGCCGUGUACCUCACAUUAAAUGCCCACACGGCCUAAGACACGGGCGUGUCACCAAUUGUUCUAGCGACGGACAAAGGUUAUGGGUGUUACACAAUUAGAGUGCGAUUACUAAAACAUAUUUCAUUCACUCUAGCUUGAAGAUUUCAAGUUUACAAUUGUUUAUUUUAAAAAGACUUGUUUAUGUGUUUAUAAAUGAAUUAGGGAGAGCAAAUUUUUUUAUCUUUUGAGGAACUUGUAUUGAGUGCAAAUUGAUUGCAAACAAUUUGUUUUCAUGUUCAGUUCAUAAUUAAAGUUUUAAGGAGAAAGCUUUUGAAGGAGAGUGAUCUUAGUUGAAAGUUUUAAGGAGAAAGCUUUUGAAGGAGAGUGAUCUUAGUUGAAGUAUAAGAGUAAGGUUUGAAACUUGAUGAGCAAAUUGAGAAUAAAUUACAACCUGUACUAUUGAUUAACAAUACAUUACUCUUUAGGUAAAGCCAAAGUAAGAAAGAAAUUCGAAUAAUGUAACUGAUUUUUGUAUCUAUCUUUACUAUUUUACUCUACUAGUUGUUACUAUAGUUGUAACUUAAGUUACAAUUGAUAAUCAACUCAACAUUAACACAAACCUAGGCCAUAAAAAACCCGGACAUGACCUACAUAUGAUUUGAGGAGACUUUAGAAGACUAUAGACUUGAUGAUAUCAUGCAUGACAUUAAAACAAUGCUAAAAAAACAAUUAAAAUAGUUGAUAAGGCCUUGGCUUAAUGACAUGAUUAAGGCUAUAAGAAUUUGGAGUUCUUAGAAUUUAGGGUUUUUAAGUUUAAGCCUCACUUUAUUUAAAUGAUAUGUGAGUUCUUAAUCUAUAUUUUAUUAUGAUUUAAGUUUCACCAUCCAAUUGUAACUUAAAAAAUAAAUAAUAAUUUCAUAUAAAUAAAAUAGGAAUGGAUGACCCAUUUUAUUUGGUUAUUAAAAAUAAUAAAUAUUUUAUUUUAUUUUUUAUAUGAUUCUAAAUUGAAUUUAAGUUAUUUUUCAAGAAGGUAGACACCCAAUCAAUUGGCGACAAUUCGAAAUUCAAAUCGGUCGAGGAAGAAUAUGUGGAGCCCAAGUGUUCAUCUUUUAACUUUGUGUAUAAUAAAAUUUGAAAAAAUAAUAAAAAUUUUAUACACAUUAAUUUUUUUUACAAAUAAAAAGGUGAAAUAAUAAAUCUAUUUUUCAAAAAAAUAAGUUGGCCCAAAGUUGGGAUACCUUCUUUGAACUGAAAAAAUUUAGUUGGGCUUGAAGCCUUGCAAUAAAAAUUCUUCAACAGGUUUAGUUGGACCGGGCCGAAUAUUUUAGGCAAGUACAUAGAGGAACAUAUUUAAGGGGGAAAGAGAAAAAAAAAGCCCGGUUUAUAUUCGAAGUUCAGGCAGUUUAAGCUAAGGGGGAAAAAGAAAAACCAGUUCUUCAGCUUAGAACAAAAAGAAAAAACAGAGGUUUGUCCGUUGGGUGGUAGGGGGCUAACCCCACAAUCUGAAAUUUGAAAAUUUUCGCUAAAUAAUUGAAGAUCUGCUGUGCGAAUUGAUAAAUACUAGACAGUGAUGACGGAGGUGGCGACGGCGUCGGCUGCAGCGACGGGGAUAGCCAUGGCGACCGAGAAGGCGGCUAAAGAACUGAGUCCCGAAGAAGAGAGGGUUUUAAUUAGAGACAUUGCCCUUACUGCUGAAGCUAACACCAAAGAAGGCGAUUCUUUUUUCCUCAUCACUCAAAAGUUAAUAUCCUUUAGUUUUUUUUUUCCCUCGAAUUUCUUCUUAUGACUUCAUUUUUAAGCUAUAUUUACUAUUUUCUUAACUUUCUCUCUCUCUCUCUUAUUUUUAUUUUUGAAAAAUAGAUGGUGGCAACACUGGAUUGAUUAUGUGAACCAGGACCAGCAGCCUAACAACAGCAACAACAAUGAAGGAAGCUCUUCUUUGUCAGGGAACUCAGAUUCAAAUGGCGUGGGUAUUUCAAAAAGGCCUUCUGGAAUUGAUAAUUCUGAUUUAAUAUCUGAUGGGCCGGCGGAGGACGCGAACUCUGAUGAUGGUGUGGAGAUUCAUGAUACUUUAUUAGAAGGCCGUGACUAUGUUUUGCUCCCUCAACAAGUUUGGAACCUACUUUUUUCAUGGUUAGUUGGAUAAUUUGGACUAUUUUGGGUUCUGUUAAGAAUUAUUUGCAUGUAGAAAACUUAUUGGUAAGUUUCUGUUGGCAAGUUGUAUCAAGUUAAGAAUGGAAUGAUACCAUAUUGAAAUCCUUGUUAACUAUUAAAUUUCAUGUUCCAAGUAUUUAGACAGGCCCGUGGAGGUUUCAACCUCAAUUGUAGGUAUAGAUAAUGAUAACAUUUUUGUGAAUUAAAAUCGACAUUGAGCUAGACAAGCUCCCUGGAAUUGUGUUAAGUAUAUGAAUCUGUUUGUGGAGUUCUUAAGCUCUAAUGCUUUACAAGAUAAUGAUCAUUUUAUGGAUUCAUAUCAGCUUCAGCACUAAGCUAAGCAAAUUUCUCUAUGUUGGAUGCCCUGGUUUUAGCAACUAAGGUGAAGCGUCAAUUACCAAAAAGGUUCAUUUAUGCACUGGUUUUGCCCCAAGUUUGUUGUUAUAGAUACCAAAGACAGCUUUGGAUGGUUGUCUUGGCUCUUGAGGAGUAACUGUAGCCAUAAUUUUCAUAAAACAUCAUUCUUUGAUGCUAAAAUGUUGUGUUUUCAUUUAUACAUUUUUAUUAUGAGGCACCUAUGCAUAAGAAAACUUUGAACUUUUCAUCAUUUUUGGAGUUCCAAUAUAUUCUUUCGUACAUGAGAAAUUGUUAGUAUACCUAGCUAUACAGAGGUUCUGAACCUAUGACUUAACUUCAUAACCAAGGUUCAAGUUGAUUAAUGCAUUUGUUAGACAAAUUUAUACAUUCCUGUGUCCACUUAUUCUUGUCAUUUUCUAUUUUCUUGUUGUGAACCAAGCAGAAACUUUUCUGGAACCCUUGAUUAAUUGUAUGUUUUAGGUGUGUUUAUUUGUGUGGAUAGGUAAAUGUUUUGGUACGUGGUUAAGGAUUAAGCGGAUACAUGCAAUACACCAAAAUCCUCUCAACCAUCAUUCUUUCCAUUCAUCUGAAUUUGGACAACUUGGAUAUCACAAAAUGAUCUGUCAUUGAAACUUUUGGAUUGCAUAUACUAUUACUGUAUAGUAUAUUUAUAUAGGACAUAAUUGUGGAAAUAAAUCUAAAUUUCACUGUCCUUGGUAUUGCUAUAUAUAUAUGUAUUCUAAUUUAUGAAAGUUGUACUGUACAUUUUCUUAUGUAUUGAGUAAUCAAUCAAGCACAUAUGUUUUCAGGUAUGGUGGUGGUCCAGCAUUGUCACGAAAAGUAAUUAAUUCAGGUCUUUCUCAGACAGAGUUUGCUGUGGAGGUUUAUCCACUGCGUUUGCAGCUUCUUGUGACACCGAAAGGCGAUCGCUCUACUAUAAGAAUAAGUAAGAAGGUAAAAUUUGAAACUUUGUUUAUUUAUGUCAGCUGUGCUGCUCUCUUUGUACUUUUUUAUAGUAACUGAUUUCUGAAGAUUGAAUUAUCUUGGACAGGAAACCAUAGGUGAGCUUCACCGAGGAGCCUGUGAGAUUUUUCAUCUCAACUUGGAGCAAGUAAUUUCAGAUGCAAGAUUAUUUCCUUUUCUGUUAUUUGUUUUCCUCAAAUUUCUCUUUUCAUUUCAAGUUAUUUACUGUUUCUGUUUCCUUAUAUUUUCAGGUUUGUAUUUGGGACUAUUACGGUCAUCGGAAGCAUGCUUUGAUGAAUGACAUGGAUAAAACUCUUGAUGAUGCCAACAUACAGAUGGAUCAGGAUGUGGGUCCUUUUUGUUGCAACACUUAUUAUGAUUAGUGUGUCUGUUAUAAAGAAACCAGUUCAGCGUCUGAAAUUGGAUCCUGUAUCUGAUGCUUCUGCCCAUUGUACAACUGCAAAAUGGAUAGAAGUUUGAGUAAAAAAGUUUCAUACAUUUUAUUAAUAUGUUACUUGAUUAAGAUUUCUGUCAACUAUGCUAAAAGCAAUGAGAAAUUAUUUCAAAAUCAAUGAUUCUCCUGCAUAUUACCAUCCUUUAAUAUGAAGGGUUUGCUGUUUGUGUCCUUUCCUGCUGUGGUGUCUGUCUACAGCCUAAGGUGGAUAGCCUCUUUGAUAUGUUUUCUUGGUGACCACAGCAUAAUAACUAUUAUCUACUUCAUAUAUGCGUGUCCACAUGCCACCCUUUUGGUUAUCAUCUAUUUCCUUCGGCAUUAUCUGUCUCAGUGACGUACAAAAUUAUGUGUGUAUUUUAUUUAUUAAAAAAAGUGCCUUUUAACUUGACUGGUAAAAACAUUUUCUUCUCUUUAUAUCCAUGCACAAAUAAUAUGUAUGCUCACAUUUCUUAGGGACAUGAAUAGCAGAUACAUAUUGGAUAGAGCUGAGAAAAAAAAAAAACAUAUUGGAAGUACAGAAAUGGAUGUGCAUUUAGGGAUUUUUCUUGUUUUAGCAUUAGUUAUCAAUCAAAUUUUGUUCUAACCUAUUAUUUUCUUGUCAUCAAUUUAAACAGAUUCUGGUCGAGGUUCUUAACAAUGUUAAUGAUACUUUAGUAACCGAUGGUACAAGUAUUACAGACAACGGAUUUGCAGAUAAGGAAGCCACUUCUGUUCUUCUAGAGCCGUCUAAAUCAAGCUUAUCAAUUGCAGGAGGUCUGUCUGCGAACAAGAUUGCAUCCAAAGGCUAUAGUGCAGAGCAAUUUCAAAAUCAAACCUUGGGUUGUCCUAAUAAAGAAUCGGAUAACCAUUUUGGGAACAGUGGUGUUAGUACUAGGGGCACUUUUGGUGGUUUAACUGGGCUGUUAAAUCUUGGGAAUACUUGCUUCAUGAAUAGUGCAAUACAGUGCCUUGUUCAUACACCAGAGUUUGCUAGAUACUUUCGAGAAGACUAUCAUCAGGAGAUAAAUUGGCAAAACCCUUUGGGCAUGGUUGUAAGUUUCUAACCCUCAAAAAUAGAUGUGGUUUUGAACUAUCCUUUCAUAGUCAUGAUUCCUUGGAGAAGUUCUCACUUGUGAAUAGUGUAAUACAAUGUUUUCCCCCUUCCUUUAAUCUUUUUUUUUUUGUGCAUUAUUAGGUCUAGUCGUACUUGCUUGUGUAAAAGGUAUAUGCAUCAAGCAAAUUUUAUAUGUGGAUCUUCACUUUGAAGCACACUGCUAGCUUCUAACUAAAACUUAACAUGUCAAGAAUUGGUGUUUUAAAUAACUACGUUUUCUUUGUUCUUGUUACUUGUAUGGAUGAGACAAGAGAACAUUCUUGCGGAAAGAACUUGUUGGUGCCAUACAUAUUUGAUGACGAGUUUAGAUGUAAUCAUCUACAUAGAUUCUGCAUGAUCUAUGGUUAAUAUAGUUAAAUGCACACGUACUCUUUUCAGAGCUUCUAUGCACAUUAUUAGAUUGUGAGCAUGUAGAGCCAAGUGCAUUGUCUAGAUCAUAGAUGUUUUUGAGUAUGACACUUGUGUGUCAAUGCCAUAACCUAUCUAUAGCCCAUUAUUAGUAGGUAUAUAGCAUGCAUAUUUUGGUUAAUGUUUGUAGGUUGCUGUAACCCAAUUUUCUAGCUAACAUUUUUCUUAUGAGGACUGUGCUUGUUCUAGAUUGGAUCCAAUUCAGUCAAGGGCAUAAGUUACCAGAAUGUGUAAAAAGAGUUUGUGCUUAAGAAAGCAAGGCUCUAAUUUCUAAAAUGGAAAAAGAAAAGGAUGUAAACACACAGAUAGAUACUAGUUCAAGAUGUUUAUAUGUGUUUGUACUUGUUAUAUCUAAUACAUUUAAAAUCAAAUGGCCAUUGAAUUUUCUACUGUAUAAUGUAUUAUAAAGGUCAAGGAUUAUCCUAAGUCAUUAUUGGUCUCUAGCGCUCUCCUUCAAUUUGCAUAUCCUCUAUAUGGAUAUUCUUUAGUGUCCUUUUUGUAGUUUGAUUGUGAAGUUCUUGGAACCACUCUUUGUUUGCUAUUGAGGGGUUCUUUCUCCUUUUGAAAAGGGUAGUCCCUGAAAUCUAGGGCAUGCUCCUCUCUAAGGAUCGCGUCGCUUCUACUGAUUAUUUGAGCUUACCAUGCUUUUUUCCUUGUGGUUUAUUCUAAAGUGGUUAUUGCAGGUCGUUAUGAUCACUUUGUGCUGAAAUGAACAUGACACAUAUUUGUAGGCAUCUAACCUAACUGCUAAAAACAUUUUGUCCCGUAUACUGACUACAGAGAUAGUAUGUAGUAGCUAUUUGAAGUGUAAUGUUCUAAGAUUAAAUAUGAUCAAAUGCCUGCUUUAUGAACUCGUUAUGGGCCCCCAAAAUAAGGUUGACUGUGUUAUUUUAUGGAAUUGUCCUUUUGUAUUAUUCCUCUCUUUAUCACACACGAUAGAAAAUAAUUAUUUAGUUAGAAUUUCGGAAUAUAGGUGCAUUCUCAUUGUGCUGAUAUGUCUCAACUUUGAUGUUAGUGGGCUAUUUGUUAUUUGAAUCUUGUGCAUUUUUUUGAGAGUUGAGCUCGGUUGUAUAACUAAUAUGUUAAGCUGAUCUCUUCUUGUGUAGGGUGAACUUGCUCUAGCAUUUGGUGAGUUGCUAAGAAAGCUGUGGGCACCUGGUCGAACUCCAGUUGCCCCUCGGCCCUUUAAAGCAAAGCUUGCCCGCUUUGCCCCACAAUUUAGUGGAUACAAUCAACAUGACUCUCAGGUUUGUAAUUAAUAUUAAAGUCUUGCUAUUCCUUGCUUUGCAUAUAGUUCUACAGGCUUAUUCAUUUAAAAUUAUUUUUCCCCAGGAGCUUUUAGCAUUUCUGCUUGAUGGUCUUCAUGAAGAUCUGAAUCGUGUCAAACACAAACCUUAUGUAAACUCUAGAGAUGCAGAUGGCCGCCCAGAUGAAGAAGUUGCUGAUGAGUAUUGGGCAAAUCAUAUUGCUCGUAAUGAUUCGAUAAUUGUUGAUGUGUGCCAGGUAAGAACAUGUCUUCUACAUUUCAAUGUUGUUACGCCUAACAGUUGUGGUGGUGUCUUGCAUGUGAAUGGUAAAUCUCAUAACAUGGAUGUUUAUCUGGAGAUUUAAGACUGCACUUUCUUUAGUAUUUACCGUAGCUUUGUCCUCGAAGAGGAUAUAUGAUGAUGCAAGAUAUAAUUUGUUUUGAUGAUGUUUUGAACUCUACUUUUAAUCUCUGUUGAGAAUGUUUCGUUGUAAAGUUUUUGAUGCACUUAACUCAUUGGAUACCAAGUUUCAUUAACUUAGAAGAAUUGGAGAUUUGCCCCAAUGAUGACCAAUUUACUUCAAGAAUUUUAAAAUGAAACAUGUGAAUAGUUUAUGUUAGUGAGCCUUAUUAUUUCUCUAAAAGUUUUAGAAUAACUUUAUCAUUUCUUGAUAGAUGUAAGAGUUAAGGACCUUCCAAUACCGCCCACCCCCAUGACCCAAUCAACAACAACAAGAAAUGGGAAGAAUUUCUUUUUUGUGAUUGUGUACUUUCAAAGUGCUGAAGUUUAGUUCUUGCAUGCUGUUUCCUAAGCUUUGAAGAAAUGGAAUUAUAAAACCAUACCUUCUAGAAUUGCUUUUUCUUGAAUGCUUAAUUAUCUGUUCCUUUUAUGCCAUUAUGCCAAUUAAAAAAUUGUCUAUCCUUUUUCUUGUUUUUUUCUUUGUCUGGUAUCAAAUUAUUUAGUAGUUUAUAUGGUUCAUGACUUCAUUUAUAGGAUAUAUAAUUUCCAUAGGCCUGGUGAAGUGUAACUUUGAAAUCAUUUAGAAGAACUCUUAUCAAGGUUGCACUUAUUGGAAGUAUUCUGAUUUCAAAUUUAUCCAUGUAAUGUUUUACAUGCAUUUCAAAGUUGUGAUAAUAAAGAAUGGUGCAAAUUACAAAAAUAUACAUGAGUUGAUGCCCAAUAGCUGGGUGAUUAGGGUGUGAGGUCUGUUUUUAGGGCAACUUGACGGCAAAGCAGGUAGAGAAAUUCCCUGAAUAAUUACGGUUUAAAUUGAUUUGAAGCUAAGUACAGAAAUCUAGGAUCUAGAUAGCCACUUAGGUUGCCUUUGGAUGUUUCAUUCUUAAGAAUGAUCUCAUUUCCAAUUAGGACUUCAAAAUUUUAAAAUGCAAUUACCUGGUUUGACUUAAAGAAUAGGAAAAAUAGUAGAUGUUACAUUGGGUAAGAGUGUUAUUUUUUCAACAUGUCUUAGGGUGCCUUUGGAUUCACCGCACCCUCAGUGAAGUUUAACACAAACAAUUUACUUCAAUUUCAAACGCACUGAAAUUUUUGUUUGGAUGUAUGCUUAUUUUCUGCUGAUCCCUGAUUUUUAAUUGGAGGGGAAGAGGUCCAGUUGAUAACUGAACCUCCGGUGGGACUCUUGAAAUUAUUGUUUUAAACUUCAAUUUAUUUUUUUAUUUUUUUCUAACUUUGAACCAUUUUAAUUUCAUUUGUCUUUUUAAACAUAUCGUAAAUUAAUUGUGUUUAAUUUUUUUCCUCUAGUUAAUUUAUUUUAAAUUCUUUUAUUUAAAAGUUUAAGGUUUAUUUAAAAUAAUAAAUAGGUUUAUGAUAUAAUUAGUUGAUUAAUAAAAAUAUUUAAAUAAAAUAUUUUAUAAUUUAAAUUGUUAAAAAUAUGUAAAAAUAAUGUAAUGAUACAUCUUUUGAGUAAUGUCCUGAAUUGUCAUUUUUUAUUCUCAUCUCCCAGCCACCGUUGCGUUUGAAUUUAAACACAUAUCCCACUUCAAGUUUUAAUCUUACCGUUACAAAUAACUAAUCUCACAGCCAUCGCUGUUUUUAGUCCCACUCCCUACCCAAAGGGAGUCUUAGUAUAUGAGUUAGCAAUUAACUAAUUUCAAUUGGUAAUAGUUAUCAUUUGGUGAGGGCUCAAAUUUUAAAAUUUGAAAAGUACAAUGACUAAAAAUGACCAAAUUAAAGUAUAAGGACUAAAUCCAUAACUUUCGUAAAGUACAAGGACUAAUAGAAAAUUUAGCCUUUAUUUUUUACAGAAGUUUCAUUCAUCCUUCUAAUUUCAAGUUUAAGUUUGUAUUAACUAUUUUUUAUUUUAUGUUUAACUAUUUUAAGACAUGUAUUAUAUAAAAUUUUUUCUAGUAUUAUUACAUUAGUAACCAAAUGAAGCAUAAAGCAUUUGAAGUGGAUGUUUUAAAGGUCUAAAGUACACGGUUGAAGUAUGACCCCAUGAUGUCAAAUUCUUCAAGUUAAUCAACAAAGGGUUAUGGUAUUAUGGCCAAAAAGAAAGGACUUAGGACUGCAAGAGAAAAUAACAUAUUGCUGUGUUCUAAUAUCCUGAUUACAUUUCAAGUCUACGAUCUGCUUUCAUGAUUGAUGCUACCUUGUUUGUUCUCUAUCAAGUUCUGUAAUACCCAAUUCUUUACAAGUCACUUUCUCUCCAUUUUGUCUGGUGAUGUUUCCAGCAAAUCUAUUUCCUGCUCCCUCUCUCUGUUUCUCUCAAGCAUGACCAUUCUGUUUAGCUUAAUUUUGUGAUCGGAAGAGUUUUGCUUUUUGGCUUGACUAAAGCUCAAGUAUGGAGGCUAGAGAAAAGGAUGUCAAUGGAGACGAUGAUUUGGUGGUUGUAUGAUGGGCAGUGGGAUGUGAGUCUGCAGUGGUGUGAGUAGUGGCUGCAAUGUAGUUUGGUGUUUAGGAAUUUUUCUCUAUAGCAACCUCUUUUAGAUGACCCCAAGAUGAGAAAAAUAAUUAGAAGAAACAUACAGGAAAUUAUUUUCAUAUCUGUGAGCUGAAUUUUGAGUUACUUAAUUUAAAUGGAUGGUAGAUAUAACUUCUUAAUGAAAGUUGCAGAAAUCUAGUAAACAGAAGAAAAAGAAAUUCUAGGCUUCAUAGUUUUAUGUUUUCCUACGAUUUACUUUUAGAAGUUUAUUGCUUCACACAAUUACAAGAUCCAUAGUGCUGGAAAAUCCCCAACUAGAAGUUGUCUCGCAAUAGAAAUACCAUAGUGAUGCGGACCCCUAGUGCUAAUGGUCUAGUAUGAACUUCAGUAGAAAAGACUACAAUUUUUAUACACGUGGAUGCAAAUUUAUCUUCUAAAAAAUCUUAGGGUUUUUUCUUUUAUUAUUAUUAUUUAAUUUUCUGAUAAAGUAACUUUUAAUCAAUCAUAAUUGUGGUUCCGUCUGUUAUUGCUUUGUUACUGAUUUUAUGUUACUGUUUAGCAAGAAUGGGUGAAUAUCAUAAAAGCUACGUGAAUUAAUUUUUAAAUCAACUCUAUAAUUUUUUAUCUUAGUCUUAUGGUUAUCAUAUGUAAAAAGACUAAGCUGAACUUGUAAAAAAUGUUAUGUCAUAUUCAUUGUUACUGUCAUUAUUAUGCAUCUGAUCAAUGUCUAUUCCAUUGUGUAGGGUCAAUACAAAUCCACACUUGUUUGUCCAGUGUGCAAUAAAGUUUCUGUAACAUUUGAUCCCUUCAUGUACCUUUCCUUGCCUCUGCAAUUUGCCACUACUCGGUCUAUGACAAUAACAAUUUUUACUUGUGAUGGAAGUGCUUUACCAUCAACAUGCACCAUAACUGUUCCGAAGCAGGGGCGUUACAGGGACCUGAUCCAAGCAGUUAGCAAUGCUUGUUCCUUGAAGCAGACUGAGGAGAUUAAGCUUGUUGAGGCAUGUUCUGUUAAGCAUUCUGAUUUCCUGUUCAUGGAAUUACAUGUGUGCUAAAAUUUUGCUAAGCUGUGUGAAAUUAUUUCUUGCAGAUACGGAAUCAUUUGAUUCAUAGGUUUUUAGAUGAUUCUUUUGUAUCAUUGUCCACAAUCAAAGAUGAUGAUCAUCUUGCUGCAUACAAGAUUCAAAAGUCAGCAACGGGAAAUGUUUUGCUUCAGUUGAUACAUCGCCGUCAAGAACAGUAUGUAAUAUUUGGCUACCCUCGUACUUAUCUUUACAUAGCAAUGUUUGGAUGUAAGCAUGGCACCAAAAGGUUUACCAUUGGCUGCCAGUCGAACUUGAAGUGGUUUUAGUUAGUUAUUUUAACUGCUAGAUUGGCAUCUGAAGCGGUUGACUUCAAUGCUAUUAAGGUUGUAGUUUUUUUUCCUAUUUAAAUGGUUUUAUAAUGCUUGAUUAUAUUUGUUAUUUUAACAGUUUAAUCUCUCUCUCUCUCUAUAUAUAUAUAUAUAGAGAGAGAGAGAUAGAUAGAUAGAUUUUAAUUCUUGAGUAAUUUCAUGAUGGUAACUGCCAUCGCUGCUUUAAUAUUCUUGCUCCGAAGCUAAGAGCGUUCCUUGGCAUUGAGUUGUUUCUAAUGCAAUACUACAUUAUUGUUGUAUUGUUGUACAGGGAAACUAGCGAUGCUCAAAGAUGGAAACCUUUUGGAACUCCUCUUAUUUCAUCUCUCUUGUGUGAUGAUGUAAUUAGAAGUGGUGUUAUUCAGACAAUUGUUCAGACAAUGCUUACACCGCUGCUGAAAGAGGGUAUAGAAUAUUCUGAUGAUUCAGAUCCAAGCACCUCGGGGAUGGCAAGGGAUCCAUCUGAUCAUGGUUCUGGUGAAGUGGAUACUAACUGUGCAUCGACUUCUAUAAAUAAAGUCUUACCAAAACUACCACUUCAGUUGGUCGAUGAAAGUAAGACAUGUAUUGACCUGUCUGCGGGAGACGAGAAAGCUAUUAAUCUGUCAGCUAUGUCACAUGUAGUUGUGUAUCUUGAUUGGACAUCAAAGCUUUUGGAGAAGUUCAAUAUAAAUUAUCUUGAAAACUUGCCUGAGGUCUUUAAAUAUGGGCCUAUUACCAAGAAAGCUCGUACUGAACCUCUUUCUUUGUAUACUUGCCUGGAGGCCUUUUUACGAGAGGAGCCAUUGGUGCCAGAAGAUAUGUGGUUAGUUAUUCUCUUUUUCUUGUACUGAAGUGUUUCUUCCCAUUGUUUAUAUACAUGAAUAUUUUGUGAACCAUUGGUGUGUUGUGCUUUUUCAUAAUCCUUUGGUAGGUGGUAUUCCUGCCUACAAUAAAUAUGUCAACCAUUGGUGUGUUUUCUUUAUCCCUACUAAUUUGUUUGGAUGGGUUCAGGAGUGGCUAUAGGCACUAGUUAAAUAUUAUUUAACCAUUUUAGGAAAGUCUUUGCAAUGUCUGCAAAGCAUGAGCCUGGUUUGCCUGUGCCUUGCCCCUUAGCACUAGACUGUAAAGCGCCGCAGACCCUUUUGGGCAAGGCUCAUUUGAUCAUGUGCACACCUGGUAAACCUAUGUAUGCUUUUUUGAGCAAUAACAUAAAUAAAAUCGGCCUGAUGAAGUUCUCUUUAAUUUCUUUCUAUUUUUCACUUUUUUCAUUGGACAUCACUUUACUAGGAAAAAGGGGAUAGCUGAUGCUCUAUGCUUCUUAUUAUUUGAGUAUUCAACAACAAACAUGGACCAUAAGGAAAUUAUUCACUUUGACCAAUGAAAAAAUUGCAUGUUUUGUAGAUAAACUGGCCCACGUGUUAGAGUGUAUCAUAUUUGUUAAGCUUGCAUGUAUAUGAAGUUCUAGUUGCCUUGACAACAUUGGUCUUUGCACAUAAUUUAUUACUUUCACCAAAUUCAAGAAGGGGAAAAAAGUAAUUUCUAAUUUCUUAUCUUAGAUAUCAUCUUACCAGUGCCACGUCAUGGGUUAGCAUUUUUCUUAAGUUUAAACAAUAGAAAAAAAAGUACAUAAAGCAAAAACAAAACCUUUGUCCAUCCUCAGUCUAUCUUUUGAAGACCAUCUUUGCUAUUUUGGAGCAGCACUUGUGAAGAUUAAAGAAUGUCCCCUUCAACCAGAAGAUAAUUGUUGUCUUAUUUUGGUUUUAACCUAGUAGUCUGUUGCGAUCUCCAUAAAUUUAGUGGAAGACCUUUGUGAAUUUGCAAAAGGAAUGGCUAGAUACAGUCGAAGCCAGGAAUUUUGUGUUAGGAGGGGCAGGAUAAAAUUAUAAUUUUUUUUAAGGGGUCAAAGCCAAAAACUUUCUGUUAAAAGGGCUCAAAUUGAAUUACUAAUUUUGGGGUCAAAAUACAAUGCUCCAUUUUAACAAAAGGGGCAGGGCCACUUCUUGCCCACCUUUGGAUCCACCAUUAACUAGACAUUAUAGGGAGCAGAUGUCUAUUAUUGUUUUGUGUUUUUAUAACUACGUCUUGUUCUCAACUCUGAACGCUUUGGAAUGUUUUCAGGUUGCUAGAUUCAUACUCUCUAUUUGGUAACUGUUACACCAUAGUUUGAAUGGCUCGAGCAAAUAUUUUCUGUUUGCUUGACAGUUUUAACAGUCUUUAGUGCUAAGUUGUACUUAAGGAAAAACUUGGGGUUCCAUUCCUGCAAUAUUUUGAAUUACCAGUGUUAUUUGAUGUAGGUACUGCCCACAAUGCAAGGAACAACGACAAGCGAGUAAAAAGCUUGACCUGUGGAGGCUUCCUGAGGUUCUAGUUAUUCAUCUAAAAAGAUUCUCAUAUAGCCGGUCAAUGAAGCAUAAAGUAGAAACUUUUGUCAACUUUCCUAUUCAUGAUUUUGACUUAACAAAUUAUGUAGCUGACAAGAGGAGUUCCUGUUCUCAGCUCUACGAACUCUACGCCUUGACCAACCAUUAUGGUGGCAUGGGCAGUGGCCACUAUACCGCGCACAUCAAAGUAAGUAAGAAGCAUCUAUAUCCUUACUGAAAUGGAAGUGUGCAUUAUUUACUUUUAUUUUCGGGGGCUGGGGACUUGGACAGGGAAGUUGCAUCCAUUUAUGACUUUUCAGUCAAGACCAUUUAUUUUUCUGCUCUUUUGGUCUGGCUCUUAGCUUUCAUCAGAUUUGAAUCCUCUUAAUUAGAGUUUAGAUUUAUAUUGAGACACAAAUCUAUGUUAUUUAGACUGAAUGUGUCAUAUAAGAUACGUGUCCAGUUCAGGCAUAUUCAAUAUUUUCUGGGUUUUUUUUUUCAUGUAUUGAAUUUUUCCUUGUAACCAUGUCCAAAUGUGCAUCAAACAUGAAUGUCUGAUACAGGUAGUUACAUAAAUUGGCUUCAAUCGUUGUUGAUGCACAUGUAUCUCAUCAUACUAUUUUAUGGUGAUUUUGUUGUUUGCAGCUUCUAGAUGAGAAUAAGUGGUACAACUUUGAUGACAGCCAUAUAUCACCUAUAAAUGAAGAAGAUGUAAAGUCAGCUGCUGCAUAUGUCCUGUUUUAUCGAAGGGCAAAGUCCGAUACCUCAGGUACCAGUUCUGCAGGGUCUCGUAGAGCUCGGGAUAAAACAUCUUAUAAGUAUUGAAGUGAAGGUACAUGCCUAAACUAUUUGCUGCCAUGCAUGUAAGUUCAUGACUGUAGAGUGCUACAGCAACAGAGAGUGUUGUGAGCUUGUCUUUGCAAAAUAUUGAUUUAGUGAUCUGUUCAAUGUGCUGCUUUACUUCAAUUGCUAACCUAUUGCCUGGACAAAAAUAUUUUGUGUCAAGAGUAAUAUCAGAUUGAAAAUGAGACAUACUCAGAUUCGGCUUAGUCAUUGUCAAGUCAAAACUCAAGCUUGAGUAGUGAGUUAUUGAGCAUCUUAACACCCAGCUCAAGUGGCUUGCCAACCUAAUCGAGUAUUUUUAAUAUGUAUUUUUACUAUUUUUAGUAAUGAAAAAUCUCAAUUCAAAUAUGAAUUCUUGUAUUUUUAUUUCUGUUAUCUUGGUUUACAAGCUAUUUGAGAAAAACUUGGAAGUAUGCUUGGUCAAUGUCAAGGCAAAGGUCAAGCUUGAGUAACAAGUUAUCGAUGGAAUAUUGAGUAUUUUAACACCCAGCUCAAGUGGCAGCCAACCUAAUUGAGUCUUUAUUAUUAUUAUUAUUAUUAUUAUUAUUAUAUAUUUUAUUUGAAAUGAUGAAAACUUUUUAUUGUAUCAAGAGUAACACUAUAUCGGAAAUGAGAUAUCUAUGUUCACAAGCUACUCGAAUUUGGCUGGCUUGAUUAAGGUGAUACUUGAGUUUGAGUGGUGAGUUAUGGAAUCAGUUUUGAGUAUUUAACGUCAGGUUGAAGAUCUUGCUAAUUUUUUAAUACGUAUUAUUUUUAUUUGGUAAUGAAAAAUCUCAGUUCAAUCAUGAAACUGUUGACUGAAAACCAUAGACCCAGACCACCACCUUGAUGAUCAAUCUACCUGGAAAUAAAAUGUAAAUAAAGGGGAAAUAAAAUGUAAAAUGUAAAUAUUAUGCUAUAUCUCCGGUGUUGAUUGGUCCAAUAUUGCUAUAUCACUUUUUGUAAUAGUUUGGGGUAAAGUGGUAAAUGGAAUUAAACUAUUGGUGUCAAAUUAAGAACAAAAAAAAUCAUAGGUACGAUGAAUGAGGUAUUCUAUGUAAUUUAGUUAGUAUAAAUAAUAUGUAAUCUAGUCAAAUGUUUAAUUGGUAAAAAUAAAAUUGUUAAGUUCUAGACCAGUUGGUAUCAUUAUUCUUACAAUAACCUAAAAAUUUAAAUACCCUAAAGCAUAUGAUAUCUUCUACUUUGGAGAUUGAAGGAGUUUAAAUAUGCUAAAGCAUAUGAUAUCUUCCACUUUGGAGAUUGAAGGGUUAUGUUUAGUGUAGGUAUUGUAUUAAAAGAAAUUCAUGAAAAAUUAUUUCUUAUCUAAAAUCUGAUUUGAGUAUAAUUAUUUGUAAUUACUUAUGUAAUUAUUUUAAUUUUUACCCUCUUUCUAAGAGUGUAAUUGCAAUGUUCAAUCACACUCAUGUAAUUAUUCCAUUCUUGCCCACUCUUUAAGAAUUCGAGUAGGGUAAUCCAAUUACAGUCAUGAGACUUAUUAACUGCAAUGAUUAUCAAAACAUGCAAACACGUAUAAUUACAAGUAAUUACACUCAAAUUCAAUUAUUAAGUUGCUUUCUAAUUAUAUUCAACAAAAAAAUUGAAUUAACCAUUUAUCAUGAAAGAUUUAGAUAAAAUAUUAUACUUAUAUUUUUUUUGGUCUUAAGUCAAAUUUAAAUAAAUAAAUAAAUAUAUUCUUAUACAAUGCAUAAAUUUGAAUCAAGUUGACUCCAAGGGGAAAAUUCUAAUGAGCUCUUUAAAGUGAGCUGCUUAUAAGCUCCAAGUAAGAUAUUAAGAAACAUGCAUUACUAGGUUAUAAGUAACUUUGCAAAAGAAUUAUAAAUUUUUUAAGAAUUUCCAUAGUUUUGAAAAAGAAUCAAUAAUUUAUAUUGUAAAGAAUUUAAUAUUUUUUUUUUUGAAAUCAUUACAACAUUAUAAAAAAUUCAAUAAUUUUAAGUAGCUGAUGUCUUUCAAAAUUACUGAAUCAUUUACAAGAUUGCCAAAAGACUUAAACAAUGAUUGAAUCCAUUAUGUUUUAUUAUUUCCCUGUACUCCAAAGGAAUUACAUAAGUAAUUAAGUAAUCUUAUAACAAAAUUCAGUGUUAGAUAAAUAAUAGAAUGUUGUAAGAUUUUUAACAAAUUUUAAGUGAUUCAAUAAAUUUAAAAAAGAUUCAUUAAUCUGUUAGGGAAUUCAGUAAUGAUUUAAGAGAUUCAAUAAUCCUGUGAGAAAUUAGAUAUUUUUGUAACAAGUUGAGUAAUUGUGUAAGAAUUUCAACAAUUUUCAUUAAGAAAUUUAGUAAUCAUCAAAGAAAUUAUGUUAACUUAUAAGAAAAUUCACUAAUUUACAAAGUGAUAAUAAAUUAGGAAAGUAGUAAAUUGUUGUAAGAUAUUUUAUAGUAUUUUGAGACAUUUAUAUUACGUUUGGUUCACUGUAAUGUAAUUGAGUUGUAAUAGAAUAAAGUUAUAAUCAGUAAUUCAACUGUUUGGAACGGAAUAGAAUUGUAAUAGUAUUCUUGUGUUUGAUUGAAUGACUAGAGUACCUUUAGCAAAUUUUUUUUAGGUAAAUAGUUAUUAUUAUUAAAUUUUAAUAGGAUUAAUAAUAAUAAUAAAUAAAUAAUUUAAUCAUAUUUUAAUAUAAUUAUUUUUAUAUUUUCUAAGUCCAUGUUUUAAAGGACUAAUCUGUAAAUUUUUUUUUUUUUGUUAUUCAAUGUUGUAUGAAAUUGUCAUUUUUUAGUUAUACCAAAGAAUAGCUAUUACAAAAAGACAAGUAAUAGAAAAGUAAUAAUUAUUCUAUUGAAUGAGUAUUAUGUUCAACCAAACAAAAGAAUGAUCUACCCUUCAAUGAAUAAGAAUAAGGGGUGGAUGCUACUCCAUUCCUCCAACCAAAUAUGGUGUUACUAAAGUUUAAAAAGUUAAGUAAAUUGUAAGGUGUGAACAACUAUUCAAGAGAUUUAGUAAUUCUAAGUAUAUGAAAAAGUAUUUGAACUUUUUCGUACUUGAUAAAACAUCCACUUACCUGCCUUGAGGUUAAUAUUCACCAUAUCAGGCCAAUUGGUUGGACUAAUAAUUGAUUUGUAUAAAUGAAUUGAAUCAAUCUUAAAAUACACUGCAGCUAAAUUGAUUCAAUGCAUUAACUUUAGAGUUAAUAUAUAAUAAAUUUAUUAUUUUUCCUUUAUCUUUCUAUUUUUAUAUUUUAAUUAAUUUUUUAUUAGGACAUUCUAAAUAAUGAUAACUAAUUAAUUUUUGAUGAAAUAAUAUAAAGAUUAAUAUACAAAUUUAGAAUAUUUAAAUCUAGUUGAAGUCAAAUAUAGUUUUUUAAUGAAAAAGCAAAAUAUAUUUAAUUUUAUGGUAGGUGUAAGACCCGAAUUUUGCCCGGCCCAUAGGGAAACCAAAAUCAAACACAAAAAUUAAAUGGGUUCGGUUUACAAGCCCAAAAUUUUACAACGGCCCGAUAGGCCCUAAUUUUUAGGGUUUCAGAAACCCUAAAGUUCCCCUUUUGCGCAGCAGCCCCACGCACGCUCCACGCAUGACCCUGGCUUGCGCGUUGCACACCCCACGUUCGUGUGCUCCGCUCCCACGUCUUCACAACCUGCAUUUUGAGCAAGAAAACGGCAAGAAACCACUUGUAUUUGGAUAUAAAAGCUGUCAAAUUUGGAUUGUAAAAGGGGGUCUUUCUUUUUUUCAGAGAAAUUGUAUACAGAAUACAUACAAAGAUCAAUAGAAAAUAAUCAAAAUAUACCUCUAAGGUGAUUAUUUGCUGUAAUUUAUUUCUAUUUUUUUUUCCUUUUUUUCCCCUUUUCAUUUGGAUCUAAUACAAAUACGAAAUAUAAGAGUAAGUGGGAGAAGCACACCGGAGUUGCGUCGCGCUCUCACCACUGGAGGGCCCUACUUCGUUGGUCGCAAGCAGUUUUCGGAGAAGUUGAAGGCUUGGCAUAAGCCUUUCGGCGAGGAGCAGAGGGGUGAGCAAAAGGGGGGGGGGGUUCUCAAAAUUUAGGGUUGUUUUUAAACAAAGAAUAAAAUGGUUUGAAAAAUGGGUGAAGUAAUUGGAAUAAAAAAGCACCGUUGGGUGCUUGACCCACACAUUUUGGCUCAAAGUGGGGGAUUUGCGUAUUGAGUCCUCCCCUUUUGUGCUGAAUUGUAAUUAAAACCUGUUUAUAUUUUCCUUGUUUUUUUUAAAAUUGUCCCCAAAACUUGUGCGUCAUUUCAAUUUAGCCCGCACCUGGGCACAACGUUUUGGGAUUUGGACCAUUUGCGCUUUCGGUCCCCGCACAUUUGCGCGUAUUGCGCUUUGGCCCUUAUCUUACUUUCCAUGUUUUUUAUUUAUUAGUUGUCUCUUUAGUUUUUCUCUUAUUUCAAUUAAGUUUUAGUUCAUAUUUUAUUUUAUUUUAUUUUAUAUAUAUUAUUUUGAAUUAUUUUAUUAAUUUUGCACUGUUCCAGUUUGCCAUUUUAUACUUUUUGUUUUUGUUUUUCUCUCCUAAUUGUUUUAUUUCACAAUUUAUUUAUUUUAAAGUCUUUGUUUUAUAUUCUUAUGUGUUCUAAAGAUAUUUUAAUCCUAUUGUACAUACAUUUACAUUUUUUUUAAAAAAAUUCUAAAUAUAUAUCGUUGAUUCAUACUGUUUUAUGUAAAUAUUGUUCUUUUAAAUGUAUUUAUAUGUAUAUAUAUCUUCUUUUGAAUUUAUUUAUGUAUAUAUUAUUGUCAUUAAGUUAUUUUAUAUGUGUAUUCUCUAUAAGAAUCUAUUUAUAUAGUUCACUUCCUAUAAAAACCCUAUUUUAUUGUUUUUUAUUAUGUCAAAUGCUUUUACUAUUUAAACUUUUAUAUAUAUAUUAUUUAUAUUAAGUUUUUUUUCCAUGUAUAUUAUGUGUUUAGAUAGAUAUAUAUUAUUUUGUAUAUCAUUUGCCUUUUUUACAUACAUUAUUCAUUUAGAAAUUUCAUUUAUACAUUUCUUUUAUAUAUAUUAUUAUCUUUAGUUUCUUGGUCUAUUUUAAACUUUCAUGUAGAUUACUUGUUCUAAGUUUUAUGUAUAUUGUUUGCAUAUUGAUAAUCCUAAAUUGCAUUUCCUUUGUAUCAUUCAUUUGUUUAUUUGUUUUAGAAAAUUUGUUAUAUAUUAUUUGUGUUAAUUUACUUGAUAUGUCUUUAAGUUCGCUUUUAAUUCAUUAGAUGUUAAUAUUGGUAUAUGUAUAAUAUAUGAUGUGUUCACUGUUGCACGCGCCCAAAUUCGUUCCUUUCAAAAUUCCACAUAAUAGCUAUUUAUUUGUAUAAUAUUUUAUCCAUGUAUAUUGACUUUCUUUUUCAUAUAUUAUCGCAUUGUGGUUCAAAUUUCAGCAUUUUAAUCAUCGUCUCAUUUUUAUUCCAAAUAAACCAAAUAAAAAGCAUUUUGAGUUGGUCUUAUAAUUUAUCAAUUUUAAAAAACCUCUAAAACAAAGGUAAUGUUUGGCGUUUGGAAAUUUUAGAAAUCGUGCCUUAACGUGCUGGGUUUCGAUUUUCUGCUUGCCCAAAAUAGUCAAAUAUUCCUUUUAAAAUUUUAUGUUUUCUAAAAUUUAAAAUAGGGCAAUGUGCUAUGUUUAGAAAUUCGGGAAAUCGUGUCCUAACGUGUUGGGUUUCGUUUUUUCGUUGGAUCAAAUGAUUGAAUACCCUUUUCGUUGCGUUUUGGAAGUCAUAAGGUGAUCUCAAUUUUUGGAGGCUUAAAGUAUCGUGUCCUAACGUGUUGGAUGUGGUAUUUUAUUUCUUUGAAACGAGUGAAUCUUAAAAUCCAAUUCGAGUUGAUCACACAUUUUUAAAGGAAUCGUAUGUUGGCAGUUUUUUCUUUAAGUUUUCAACGAUAGGACGUUAAAUAAUCAAUGGGUACCAAUUUUCGGCGUUACGAGGGUGCUAACCCUUCCUUGUGCGUAACCGACUCCCGAACUCAUUCUCUCAAUUUUCAUAGACCUAAAAUUAUUGUUUUAAUAAAUCAAAUGUUUUAUUAAAAUGAUCAAUCUCAAGGUGAUCCGAUUACACCUCAAAAAUGAUCGGUGGCGACUCCAUAAUUCUUUUUUAAAGUCCAUUCCUAUUUUUUUCAAACUUUUAAAGAUGGUUUCGACAGUAGGUAAUUAUAAUUUGGGUAAAUUACAUCAACAGUCUCUCAAUUUUGAUGUAACUGACCAAACUAUCACUCUAAUUUCAAUUCAGUCACUCAACUUUUGAAAAAUAACAAAUCAGUCAUUUUAAACAUUUUCCAUUAAAGACCUAACGAAAAAGUGGCAUUGCAUCCUAUUGUGUAAACGAUUCAAUUUAAAACCUUAGUUGGGCUGGGCAGUAAAAGAAGAAGAAGAGAAAAAUUCUAAAGUGGUUCAGCAGUAGCAUAAGGUUGUGGACCGCGAUGACAACUGUGGGGCAAGCUACACAAAGAAUAGUUUCAGUGACAAGAACGGUUGAAAGCUCUUAUUCACCGUAUUCGGCCAAAUGCACCAUCUCAUCUCAGGUCAUCUCCAUUUUUUCUUCUUCUUCUUUUAUUGCUAGCCAUGUCGAUAGCUCGGAUAGUAGAGUAUUUGUACCAGAUGCUUUGGAUGUAGAACUUGCCAUGGUUUAAGGAUAAAAUGAUGCAGUUGUUGCUGUCACAGUUGAGUUUGAACCGAUGGUCAUCGCAUUUGGGAGGUUGGGUUGAUAAUUGAAAAAGGUAGCUCAUUGUGGCAUUUCCACAAACAGUUAGAUUGCAAUAUUUGUUUCUAGUUUUGGCAAUACACGGUUGGAAGUUGUGGUUUGGUGACACAACAAUGACAGCCAUGAGGGCAUAAAUUGAAAGUUGUGGUUUGAGUUUUGGCAUGAUAAAAUUUGAAUGGGGAGAAAUUAGAAGGUAGAGGAGACAAAAGAGAUUGAUGGUAGAGUGGAGUAGAUGAUCAUAUUUGAAAACAGAGAUUAUUAGGAUGGAGAAGAAGUAUAAAUAUAUUAAGCUAUGUACCCAAAAAAUAAAAAUAUUGGGUCAUUUAGGACAAAAAAAUCAGUUAUUCAACUUUGCCUCGUCUUACGUGACAAGUUAACUUGCCACUAAUUGGCCAAGUCAGCGGUUCCGGUAAAUGUUAAUAGGCGAUUGAUUUAUCACUUUUUGAUAAUAUUAAUGAUUAAUUUAUUAUUUUUUAAAAAUUGAGUAAAUGAAUUAAAAUUAGAGGGAGCAUUCCGUCAAAACUGAGUGAGCAUUGAUAUAAUAUACACUCCAAAAUUUCACUAUCAUAUAAGUAAAACUAAAAAAAAUAAAUAAAUGAAAUAGGAAAUAAAUAAAUAAAUAAUAACAAGGGUCUCUUUAUUAAAAAAAAAAAAAAAACUUUGAAGACUGUCCACGACACUCUUUGAUUCCAACAGAAAAUGUCCUUGUUUUUUGGUUCAAAUCCUUAGUAUUUCUUUAACUUUCCGAUACUGCAGGUUUAUAAUGAAAACUACGAGUAAUUCAAUCAAUUCAAACCCAGAAGCUUCUCAAAGUUUAAUCAACAAAAUCUACGGCGUUUUCUCAAACAAUGACGCCCGAUUUUCGUUCCCGAUUUCGUCUUCCAGGACUACCGAAAUGGAGUUGGUUCGAGGCGUUGUUCGAAUGCUGCAAGGCUUCUCGAGUUCCUUGUUUUCUUGGGACGAAAAGGGGCGGCGAUUUUGCGUCAGAAAUGGGAUUUACGUCCCCCAUUUGUCUCAGUCAAGCUUGGCCGUAAUCCUCAACCAAUUCAUGUACGCCGCUACGUGUCUUGGACUUGUGCAAAUUGCGGUUUCUAAAGUGGAAUCGCAGCUUAGAUCUCCUCCUCCCACUUUGAGAGCUUUUGCUUCCUCGGUUUCUUCUUGGCUCAAGGUCAUAAUUUGCUCUUCUUUUUCUUUUAUUCUUGUUUUAUUGAUGAAAGUUGAUUUCAAUUGGGUUUUCUAAGCAAAUGUAACAUUCGAUUGUUGACCCAAUACUUUUUUUUUUUAAAUUUAUAAUUUGUCUGUAUAUAUCCAAAUUUUUUGUUUGAGUUUCUGUUUAGAUAGAAUACAUACAUUAUAGUUGAUUAAGAAGGACUAGUGAGUAUAAUAUGCAAUACCCGUUAUUAACAUAUAUAUAUUUUUGAUAUAGAAGUAAUAACCUUAACAUUAGGUUUUUUUUAUGUAACAUUCAAUUAUUAAUCCAAACUUUAAAAAAAAAAUUAUGAUGUAUAUAUCCAAAUGUUUUUUUUUUGAGGUUCUGUUUGGUAAUGAUAGACUCUUAGUAAGAAAACACACACGCACAAAUAAUUGAUUAAGAUGGACUUGUGAGUAAAAUAUGUAAUACCCCGUGAUUAACAUAGUUUCCAUAUAUAGAGAAAUAACCAUAACCGUUGAUUUAUCUUUUUCUAAAAAGUUACUGCUACAUUGUUUGAUUUUGCAUCUAGAAGCGUAUUUAGUUAAGAUGUUUUUGCCAUCAUAUAGAAAGGUUAAAUUGUCUUGUGUUGGCAUGAAUUCUUUGAAAGCUUAGUCAAAUUGUUAUGUCUAGAGCAGAGGUUGCGUGAUAUUGCUUUGAAUGAAGAAACGAAGAUCAGCAGUUCAAAUGUGGGAUCUACGCUGACCUUGCUGGGAUUAACAAGUUCUUUAUCAAGGUUGGUAUGUUUUGUCUUACAAACUUUCACCUGAAAAAACUCUAGGCAUUUAGUUUUGUUUUUCAUUAUUCUCAGUUUUUUGAGUUGUUACCAUUAUGGUAUUUGUAUUGAAGAGCACCUGCGGUUUAGAAUAAUUUUGAGUGUUAGAUAUAGACAUGUUUACAGAUAAAUUUCAACUCCAUCUCCAAGAUUAUUUUCUUUCUUUUUGUCAAUUCAUUGCAUUAUUUGUCUUAUUAUAUUGAAAAUUUCUGAUUCUUUUUCAAUGUUAUUAGCCUUUGUUCAGGUGCUGAAUAUCUAUUGCAAAUAGUUCAUGGAGCCAUUCCCCAAGCAUACUUUGAGCCUACUUCGAAUAUUUCAGCUGCUGACAUUGCUACUUAUAUCCUUGACUAUCUCUAUAUAAAGCUUGAUGAAGCAUGCCUCGUACAAGGUGGUGAGGUUGUAUCUAUUUUCUCAUUGUUGAUUACUGUUCUUGAUUCUCCACAUUUGUAUGAACAUCUGACAAAUAUUAACUUAGAGCUCAUGCUAAUUUCAGGGGGAUGAAUAUAAGAUGCUGAUUCAUAUAUUUGUUGGAAGCUUACUACCAUACAUUGAGGGUCUUGAUUCUUGGCUUUUUGAAGGGACACUGGAUGAUCCUUUCGAGGAGGUAACUUUGAUUCAAGCUGAAAUUUAUUCUAAAGCCUGAAACAAUUUCUUCAAUUUAACAUCUCUCAGAAAUUCUUUUUGGCACAUGAACUCAUUCUUUUUGUGAAUGAUUAUGAUAGUUUGCAAUUAGAGUUCCAUUUUGCAUUAAAUGUUAGCGGGACUCUAGUAUGCUUCAUGUCUCUGACAUAUGUACUGUUGACAUAAUAAUACGAAGUUGCAGUAUCUUUACACGAGGGGGAUUAGGUGGUUUUCCAUGAUGCGUUUCUAUUUACAGGUUCAAAUGCAUUUUUGCAAGUUCCUCACUGAAUUCCCAGUUAUUGUCUUUUGUCUCUUGUGGCAGAUGUUCUUAUAUGCUAAUAAAGCAAUCUCCGUUGAUGAGCCUGAGUUCUGGGAAAAGAGUUAUUUACCAAGGAUAAUGCAAAAUUACAAUCUAAAAGUUGACCCCUCUGCCCCAAAUUAUAGCCAUGAUUAUGUACAUGGGAUGAGUAACAAAAAGGAAACUACUGAAAAGGAGUUUGUUUCUACAUUUGGUUCUGUGAAAGGAAAAGAACAAAACAAUAGAGACCUUAUAGUGUGUCCUUUAUUUAUUAAGGACAUAGCAAAAUCAAUUGUUUCUGCUGGGAAAUCAUUGCAGCUGAUCCGUCAUGUUCCUAUGGCAUCAACAGUGCCUUCUUGCAAAAAUAGUGAUAAAGUAGAUGAUGGUUCUGGGAAUUAUAAUGAUUGUGAUAUAAAUAAGAUGAACCAUUGGCAGGGCAUGGCUGGGGUAACUUUAGCUGAAAUCUUUUGUGUGUCUUUAGCCGGCCUUGUAGGCCAUGGUGAUCGUAUCUCUCGAUAUUUCUUCGAAGGUGACCAAUGCAAAGCAGAGACUAUUUCUUCCUUGUCUGCAUGUAUGAAAGAACAGAUUAUGGAAUCUGGUACUGAUGGAGCCUUGCCACCUUCAACAUUCUCAGAGAAAAUCUGGUAUAAGUUCUUAGUUAACUCAUUGUUAAAGAAAGAGGUUUUAGAUAUAGAGCCUGCAGAUGAGGAUUCUUGUUGUUUCCCUGAUAUAAAAGCAGAAAAUGUGAUUGUAGGAAUUGAAAAUAAAUAUUUGUCCCCAAGAUCUUUUUGUCCUGAAAAUCCAGUCAUUACUGUUUGUCAAACAUUGCUCGACAAGAACAGGAAUUCAUGGGAGGCACUGAACUUGUCACAAAAGUUUUGCUUACCCACUUUAAAUGAUGAAUGCUUAAGAAAAGCUGUUUUUGGAGAAAAAAGGGAGAAUGUUUCUGGACCUCAUGGAACCAACUAUAUGUUUGGUUUCCAGUUUAGUGAAUCUGAACAUCUUCGUGCCCAGCAUGACACUAAGUUAUUGGAAGUUUUGUUACCCUUUCCUACUAUUCUUCCUUCUCUACAGGUAUUGCUAGACUGAUGUUUUUUAAACUCAAUAUGUGAUGUAAACCCCAUGCAAGCAUUUUUCAAAUGUAACUGAAUCUGGAAACAGGAUAAUAUCAGCAUGUCAAAGCUCUUGCCUUUCCAGAAGAAUAGCACCCUUUCAUCAAGUGUACUUAGCUGGAUUCAAACUGUUCAACCAAGAAUUAGCCCACUUCCUACAGUUAUAAUGCAGGAAUGUCUGACUGUGUACAUCAAGAAGCAGGUAAAUUGUUGAAAUAUGCCUUUGUUAUUCACAUUUUUUUUAGUUGAACAUUUUUAUAAAUCUAAAUGUUUGGAUAUAAUGUCAUAGGUGGAUUAUAUUGGCGGCCUUAUUCUGUCAAAGUUAAUGAAUGAUUGGAGAUUAAUGGAUGAGAAUGAUUGGAGAUUAAUGGAUGAGCUUGCAGUGCUGCGUGCCAUAUACUUGUUAGGUUCUGGUAUGAUAUGGUUUGUUAACUUCUAAUGUAUAUUGGUUGCCAUAUACUUGUUUGUGCUGCAAGCGGUAUACUAUAUCUCUGACAUUUCCUUCAUACCUUCCUUUCAGGUGAUUUGCUGCAACACUUUUUAACGGUGAUAUUUAAUAAGUUAGAUAGGGGAGAAACCUGGGAUGAUGAUUUUGAGUUGAACACAAUAUUGCAGGUGAAUACUUGGUGUAACAAUUUAGUUUUUUAGAAUCCUUCGUAUAUUUUUGGAUGCCUAAUUUGUUGCUUUUGUGCACAUUGCAAAGUUGCCAAUUGCCACCCUCGGUCAUGCAAUGUACAAUUAUCUGCUUUGCAGUUGUUCAAUUUCUAUAUUACUUCUAUUGGAAUAAUGUUAUACAUCCUUAUAAACCACAGGAAUCCAUUAGAAACUCAGCUGAUGGUUCGCUAUUGAGUGCACCGGAGUCUUUGGUGGUGUCCAUUUCCAAGACUCAUGGUUUUGAUAGUGAUGAGCUAAGUAAUAAAGCUACUGUUGCUUCAACUCCUCGUAAAAGUCGUUCGCAAAGCUAUGGAAUUGAUGGCCUUGAUUCUCUGAAAUUCACUUACAAGGUCCAUUCCUGAGACCAAUAGUUUCUUCCCCAAUUUUAAUCCAUUCUGCUUAGCAAGUGUGUAAUGUCCUUUAUAUACAUGCACUGGAUGUGGCAGGUCUCUUGGCCUCUUGAACUGAUAGCUAAUUCAGAGGCAAUUAAGAAGUAUAAUCAGGUACUAAUCUCAUUUUGGUUGUAAGGUGUUUUUAUCUAGAAAUAUGCUUGUUCCUGAAAUAUUUUAUGUAAUGUAGGUCAUGGCCUUCUUGCUGAAGGUCAAGCGGGCAAAGUUUGCACUUGAUAAAGCUCGGAGAUGGAUGUGGAAGGUUAUUUUAAUUUUUUUUGAGAGUGUUCUUCUAUCAAACAAUCAUUGUUUUCUCCAUGUUAGUGCAUGUUCACAAAGAACACAUAAACAUGUGCUUGUGAGAACCAAUCAUGCAGUUGUCACUAUUUCUUUGAUUCAUGAGUCAGUCUUUGAUGAUUCUAUUUCCAGGAUAAAGGCACUGUAAGAAACAGCCGCAAGCACCAUUGGUUAGUGGAGCAAAAACUCCUUCACUUCGUUGAUGCUUUUCACCAAUAUGUGAUGGACAGAGUAAGUUCUCUUUUUGAAAUUGGUAGAGUAAGAUAUCGUUUAUUUUAUAACUUUUGUCUACUGUUUUUUUUUCCUUAAAAGUUUUUCCCCUUUUUCUGGUUCUCUCUAAUUUUUUGUGCUGAUUGAUUGUCCAAGAAAUGUUAUGGUAGAUUUCCGGUAAUUACACAAAUGAAAAAUGAAAAGAAAGGACAAGUAGCAACCAUCUGGUUGAAUAUAGAAAGAAACAUGCAGUUAAACCAUGUUAUUCACAAAUGGCUCAAGACAUAACUUGAAUGCCCAUAAAUAAGAGAUUAAGAUAGCUAAGUCUGAGCCAUAGUUUCCAAAGGAUUCAGGUAUUAGCAACUUAGCUGAUGUAGAAAUUUAGAACCAAGCUAUAAGCUUAAAAAGGUAGAUAAUUUCAUUUCAAAGGCUAAAUGGAGUUAGCUUUAACCUUUUUCAUUGUAUAAGGGAAUCACUAUACCAAGUAUCAUGUUUUAGUCACUCUUCAGAUAUAAAUAUCCUCAAUAUCACUUCUCAAAAUUUCCUCAAAUGAAAUAUGACCAUCCAUUCUUGGAUGGAGUUUCGAAUUAAGUAUAAAUUUAUAAAAUUAUGAGCUGCAGACUUGAUAAAUCAUUGAAUGUAUGGCUCCCAGAAAUAACUGGAAUAUGUCUAACAUUUCACGACAUCAAGAAAACCUUGUAAGAAAAAAUGAAACCUAUAUCUUAUUGUUGCAUCAUAUCUGUUUGUAGAAUCCUCUUUGCUUAUCCAUAUGUUGCAAUUGUUUGGUGCUUUUAUAGCAGGAUGUGGUUUCUAUAAUUUGUCUGUGGGUCCUCUCUGUGAUGGAUGAAAUGAGUUAAAUCAAUGUUUAGCAGACCUCUCUAACACUGGAGAUCCAACUCUUUUAUUUUAACACAACAAAAUUGCUAGUUUUGUUGCAUUUCUAUUGUGUUCCAUUCUUAGGAAUUAUACUGUUACAACAUGGAUAGAUUAUUGAGAACCUAAAUGCGUGUAUCUAUCUUUUAGGUUUCAAAUUAAGUUUCAUAUAUCGAUGACAAUAUUGAUACCACCUCAGUUGUUUGAUCAAGAGGCUUUUCAUGUUGUAGCAGCUGAUUUCCAUAUAUAGAUUUGUUUGAAUUAAUUACAAAAUAUAACAACUGUUCAAGGGUCAUAUUCUUUUUCUAGACAAAUAUUGUUAGCAGGCCGAUUUCCAAUGUAUCAUGAUGCAGAAGUUGUAACAACUGUUAUAGUAAGCUUUGCCUCAGGAGAGAAAAACUUAGUGUGGUGGAACCAUAGGGUAAAACAAGUAAGAAAAAUACUGGCAGCAGCUGGGUCUCUGACUAGCUUUUGGUAAUCAGGUGUAUCAUAGUGCAUGGCGUGAACUUUGUGAAGGAAUGGCAGCAGCUGGGUCUCUAGAUGAGGUUAUAGAAGUACAUGACGCCUACUUAUUAUCAAUUCAUCGUCAAUGCUUUGUGGCUCCAGAUAAGCUGGUAGGAUCAUAUAUUUUUGUAUUUGUAAUCUUUUAAAAAUCAUGAUUACUCUUUGUAGGUUGAAAAGGUUUGAGGAGUUACAUUUGAUUAUUGCUUAAUGAUCUCGUUGAUUUUCAGUGGGCUUUGAUUGCAAGCCGAAUCAACAGCAUUCUUGCACUAGCCCUGGACUUUUACUCCCUACAACAGACUUUAAGCAGUGCUGGAGCAGUUUCUGCAAUUAAGGCCAGAUGUGAAAUGGAAGUAGACCGGGUUGAGAAGCAGUUUGACGAUUGCAUUGCUUUCCUCCUUAGAGUACCCUCUAACCCUUUCCAGUUGCUUUAGCCUUUUAUUUGAAUUCAGGGUUUCUAUAGUUUGCAUCUCAUUCAUGUUUGCCAAGAAUGCUAAAUGCAUUCAAAGAGACCAACAUGCAUCCUUACUUGUGAAUACUAUGUUUUUUUUUUCAGAAAGCAUGAAGAAAUUUUAGUUUAGGGAGCUGAAAAAUAUAAUAUCCUAAAUUGGACUCUCUAAUCCAAAGGCUGUCUUCAAAAUGCAGGUCCUGUCUUUCAAGCUCAAUGUGGGGCACUUUCCUCAUUUGGCUGAUCUGGUUACUAGAAUUAAUUACAACAAUUUCUACAUGUCUGAUGGUGGAAAUUUGAUGACUGCCCCUAGCUCUGAAACUGCUGCUGCAAGACUUGGGAAGGCCUUUGCAAGUUGAACACAAUACAGUUGAUUCUGUUACUUAUGGUGACUGAUCUCCAAACCAGGUAUGAUCAAGGCAAUUUGAAUGAUAAGUCUCUAAAGCUGCUCAUACAUAUGAUCUUUGAGUUUGUUAUAGACAAGGUGAGUUUAAAGAAAUCAAUUAGUUUGGCGGUGGGGGUAUAGUCUUUGCAUCUAAAUUUUGGAGUUGAUCAACCGUCUGCCCUUGCAGUCCGAUUUUGUAAUUGAAAUCCUGGUAUAAAAAGUACCAUGUUUUCGUUAGAUUUCAGGUUGUUGAUGUUGUGGAAAUGGUAUGGGGUGGUGUUUUGUUGAUUUUAGGCAGUUGGCAACAUGUUGAUAUUAGGUCCUGAUUUUACUUAAUUUUACAUGUUCAUGAUAAUUGUUAACGUCACCAUGAAUGUUCUCUUGAAGUUCACCUGAAGUCAUCUUGUGAGUUAUGACCAUGAAUGUGAUAUCAUGUUAGGAAUAUAUAUAUAUAUUUGUAUUAAAAGAAAGCAAAGAGGAAUAGUAAGUGAAUAUUUUUGUCUUAAAUGUUGUUUGAAGUACCCAUGUGAUAUGAAUACAAGGAUUUUUCGUAUAGGAAAAUAUGAACAUUCCAAUUUGAGAAACCUAUUAUCAAAUAUCUUCUCAAGAUAAUCCAUUGCAUGCGGUUGACUUAUGUUGGUCUUUAUCCGUGCUUCACACUUGUGUUGUCCAAAUAUAAUGCCAUAAUAGCUUUACAAUGAAUGGUUAAACCCAGAUAAUUUGUACCACAAUAAUCCAAAUCCAGUGUUUCUUAAACCCAAACAGUUUGUACCCGAAUGAUUUAAAUCUAGCACUCUAAAUUAACCCAAAAUAUCAAUCUACAAAAAAUUAAGUUCAGCUUUGAUUCAACUCAAAUUAAUUGGAUUUGAAACCAAUCCAUAUUCAUAUUUCAUUCAAAUUCUAACUUUAGAUUGAAUGAUGAAUGUAUUUCAAACAAACAAAUCCAUUAAAAUGAAAAGGAAAUUUGUUUUUAAGGGUAAGGAUGAAAAUUAUGCAAGUAUUUAACUCUUGAUAAAUGUGUCAAUUAAAGACUUAAACAAGUGUCUUUUGCAUAUGGUUUGAAUUCGGUAAAAAUAGUGAAAUUUUAUAAAACCUUAAAUCAUGAUUUGAUUACUAAAGUAUACUCAUUUUUUUAUUUUAGUACUUAAAUUUUUUAUCCCAAUUUGAUAAUUAAAGUAUGCUUUUGUUACAUUUUUUAGUUCAUUCUUAGCAGACGUUAAAAAAGUCUUAUAGCCAAUCAUAAAAUGUUACGUGGCAUCUUCAAAUAAUUUUUUUUCCUUUUAUUAAAUGCAUGCACGUUAAAAAAAAUAUAAAAAUAAAAAUAAAAAUAUAAAAAGUUCAGAAAAAUAUAUAUAAAAUCUAGAGAAAACAUAUAAAUUAUAAUAACUUAUAAAAAUAAAAUUUAUAAAAAAUAUGAUAAUUGAAAAGAAAUUAGUUGAAAUUAAUAAUAUCAUUACAAAAAUUGUAAAUUUUUUUUAAAAGGUUUUAAAGUAAAUGUUAUUAUAAAAUUCUAAAACAUAUAAUUCUAAAAUUCUAAAAAGGUAUUUAAAUUUCAAGUGUUUUUACAAUUAUUUGAAAUUUAAAUAUCGUUUUUAAUAAUUAUAUAUUAUUUUAACUUUUUAAAAUUUAUAAUGAUAUAAUAUUUAUAGAAAAAAAAAGAUCACGUUCUAAUAGUACCACAUGAUCAGUCAACACAGAUGAGGUGAAUGUCAAAAACUAAUGAUUCAAUCUACUCAUCAAUCUAUUUAGUAUCAAAUUAGUAACAUUUGUGAAGCUUAAAAUAUAACUGGACAAAGCAAAAAACAUAGAAAACAGGGUGAAGUUUAUCUCCUGUAUGGCUUAAAAUGAUAAUCCUGAAAUUCAGAACCAAAAGUUAUUGAUUCUUCAUCAAGUUUCUUCUUUAACCUUCUCCAAGUCCUCAACAUAUUAGACUGUAUUAAACCCUUAUACAAUGUCUCAAAUGUUACUUUUUGAGGAAGUAAACCCUUCUCAAUCAUUUCCACGAACAGUUGGCAUGCAUCUCUCCAUUUUUGCUUCUCACACAACCCAUUGACCAACAAUGUAUAAGAAUCUAAAUCAGGCCCUGGUGUACUUCCUUUAACAUCAUUCCAUAUUUCCUUAACGACGUCGAUUCCAUCCAGCUUCAUGAACAUCCCUAGUAAGAUAUUAUAUGUAUGUAAACUCAAAUCACAUAAUUUGUCUUCCUUCAUCUUCCUAUACAAAUUCAAAGCACCAUUGACAUCCUUUCUCCCUCUAUACUCCUUAAAGAAACAAUUAUAAGUUGCAGCCGAAGGGCUAAUCCCAUUACUCACCAUCUCACCAAGCACCUUCUCCGCCUCUUCGAGUCUCCCACAGGAGCAAAGACACUUGAUAACUGAAGUAUAAGUAACCACACUAGGGCAAAUACCUUUCUCCUUCAUAUACUUUAACUUAUCAAGCGUUAACUCAGGCUUAUGUGCUCUGCUGUAUACAUGUAACACGAUUGAAAAGCUGGUCACGUCAGGUUCGAUCCCUCGUUGGCGCAUUUCAUCGAACAGUUUCUCGGCAUUCCUUAUUGUUCUAUCAAACCUUUCAUCCGGAUGCAAACUGGCUCUUCUACAAAUCCCGUUUAACAUCACGUUGUAAGUGACAACAUUAGGUUCCAUUCCUCUUUCUAUCAUCUCGUUUAAAAACCUCUCUGCCUUAUAGAUUCUGCCUAUCUUGCACCACCCGCUUAUUAAAAUCGUGUACAUUUUCGAAUCAACACGAAACCCAGAUUUCCUUAUAUUAAAAACCUCAACCGCCACCUUCACGUAGCCGUAUUUACAGAGUGUAUCGAGAAGGAAACAGAAGCAAAACGAAUCGUUUUGACUAUCAGUGUCGGUGCCAGCAGUAACGAAACACCCAAUAUCAUCGUAAGCGCGAAUGGCUUGACGGGUAAAGCCAGCGGCGAUUAAGCGACGGAUUAAAAUCAUGAAAGUGGAGGGAUCGGGAGAAACGUCGGAUUGGUCCAUUUCGAGGAUGAGCUGCCAAACGACGUCGAAUUGGCGGACCUUGCCGAGAAUGUCGAUGAUGAGGUUGUAGGAGGAUGUGGAGAGGAGAGGAGAGGGAGAAGGAGGGAGGGAUUUGGAAAAGAGGAAAAAGGAGAGGGCAAUUUUGGAAGAGUGUUGGAGGCGGAGGAGAGUCUGGUGGAGAAGGAAGGGAGUAAGGUAGACGCCAUGGAUUUGGAGGGAAGAUUCCAUGAAGUGGAAAGGGUUGUGGUGGGUGAGGAGGAUUUGGGAAAGGUUGUCGGCUUCAUUUGAGGGUUCUAGUCUGGGAAGGUUAAGGGAAGUAGAUGAGAGGAAACGGAGGGAAGUGGAAGGAAAGAAACGGUAGCUAAUGGAGGAGGUGAGACUGCAUUUUGUUGAUAAUCUAAACGCCAUUUUUUAUCCUCAUCCUCAACAAAACACCAUGUCUGGUUUUUGAUGUUUGCUCUGCGAGAGGAAAAAAAGGUCAAAUUCUUUACAAGGUCCCUGGUAUUCUCAAUUCUUAGAUCAAUAUAUUUUUUAAUUUCAUUAAAUAAUUUAAUGUUACGUGAUGAAAAUUCAUAUGAUAUUACUUUAGCAAAUUGUUUGUUUAGUUGAAUAUUUUCAUAAUCGAAUCGGAUUUGGACUAAAUUAUUUGUCGAAUUGAAUUAAAAAAUUAAUUAAAUUAAUUAAAUUAAUUAAAUUAAAUAAAAAAUAGAUUGAAUCAAAUGAAUCGAAUUUUAUAAUUUUAUAAUAUUUUUAUUUUUAUGUAUUUUUAAAUAAUUUAUUUGAUUUAAAUUAGAUGGAUCAGUCAGACAAAAAACUGAUCCCUUAAAACGUUGCUUUAAUUUGACAAAUUUUCAUCAUUUAAAAAAUACCUCAAAUAAAUUGUAUCAAAUUAUUUUAAUGAAGUCAACUGAAAAAGUUAAGCUAAGGGGUAAAAAUAUACUGUUCAGAAAGAAAAAAUAUAGUAAAGGUGCCAAAUCCGUGAAAAAUGGAUAACACAAGGAUCUUUUAUAAAUUUGACCACAUUGGGCUGGUUAGCUUUCCUAUGUGGCAGCAUGUGAAGCACGCCACGUGGGUAAACAUGAAGCGGUAGCAGAUAUAGUAUAGCCCACAGCGCUUUGAAACUAAUCAAUCAAACACUGGAACUCAAUCAUCAAUGGCGACUGCAACUUCUUCUCCUACUUGCCAAUUCUUGACUCAUUUUGGGUCUCCAAGACCUCAUCCAAUUAUCUUCCCUCCCAUCUCCAAACAGACCCAUUUUCAACCUUACAGAAUCAUAGCUAAUGGUUCACUCCGAAAUAACUACUUCUCUCCAACUCCAACAAUCUCCUCCAAUUCUCCACUGCUAGUAAAAGCUCAAGCUUCCAUCAACGGAGAAAGAGAACCCAUGGUUCCUCCUUUCAAUGUUCUUAUAACUGGCUCAAGCAAAGGUUAGUGAGGAUAAUCUGUAGAAUGAACUUAAAUAAGCAAAUGUAGAAGCAUUUAAACUGUUCUCUCUCUCUCUCUGUGAGGAAAACUAUGAAAGUAGUUUAUUGGUUUCAGGAAUAGGGUAUGCCUUGGCGAAAAAAUUUCUGAUCGCAGGUGACAAUGUCAUAAUUUGUUCAAGAUCCGGUAAGACUUCUAUUGCUUUAUCUCAUUUCUUAUCAGCAAAGCCCUUAUGCUGUAUUGCAAUAUACCUAUUAUGUAACUGGCUAAAGUUGUAUACUUUUGUUUCAUGUGAUUAAUAUAUAUGUAAUGAAAAAGUGACAUCUAUGUUGCUUUGAUUCUUAUUAGAAAAAGUUGAAUAUGUUUGUGUUGGAUAGCCAGAGAGAAUUGAAUUUGUUUUCGUGUAUUUUUUUGCCUUGAACAUAUUGGGGGGAGCUUUAUCUUCUGGUUGGAGGAACUACUAAUACAAUUGGUCGUUUCUCCCUUUUGUAUUUUGUUUUGUCCUGUUGGUUUUCCCAGCCUUCAGUUCUAUUGUUGGAAAUCAUCGAUUAGGAAUAAGAGUUGAACACAAAGUUAAAUUAGAGUAUAAUUUUGAACGUUUGUUUAAUGAUAUCAAAUUUGAUGCAGUGGAAUGUUUGCUAUUCUUGAAUAAUAUUUUUAUCAUCUUUCCACCAGUUAAUUAGCUUUGUAAUACUGCUUGAAAUUAUGUGUUGAGUUUGCAUCACUUGUACUUGAUUAUCACGCUAUGUGAUGAAUCAUCAGAAAGUAGAGUUAUGGUCAGAAAGCUAAUUGGAAAUUGAAAUUGAGUGAAUAGUUUUGCACUGAUAUUUUGACAGCUGAACGGGUGGAAUCUGCUGUUAACAACCUCAGAGAAGAAUAUGGGGAACAACGUGUGUGGGUACAUCUGCUAUGACAUUUUCAUGACUUCCAAUUCUUCAUCUAUGCUUGUGACUUCAUUUUCCAUGCAUAAAAUUUCUCCAAUUUAAGCUUGUUGCUGCUUUGAACAAAUCUCUUUCACAGGGUACUCAGUGUGAUGUUAGAGAGGCAGAGAGUGUGAAGAAUUUAGUUUUAUUUGCACAAAAGAACCUGGGGUACAUCGACAUAUGGGUAUUUAUGUCUUAUCUUGGUCCCUCUAUAUUUUGGUGGCAAAUUUCUAUCUGGAGAAUAAGUCUGAUAUCUCUGGAAACUCAUAGUCUAGCUUGUUACAUGACGAUUUAUGAGAUCUGUUAGAUGUUCUUGAUGAAUAGGAUUCAACAAGAAGCUGCUUGGGAAAAUUGUGUUGAAAAUGCUUACUUAUCUGGUCUUUCACUUUUUAACAAAAUUUUUUGAGUUUAAUUUUAAGAAUAGAUCAUAUUAUCAGCGAACAAUAAUAAAGUUUGUAAUCAAGGAAUGAAUAUUAAAAAAAAUCAUGACUAUGAGUUGAUGAUGGAUUCUUUUAGUUCUGCCACUGGAAACAGCCUUGAAAAUUAAUGUCUACUGUGUCACAACAUGCAAAUAUUUGUUUGUUUGGUUUAAGCCACAGAACCUUCCAUUGUUGUUUGAUGCAAUAAAACAUGAUGCUUUUAAGAUCAAAAGUCCGCUGCUAGGACAUUUUCCAUUCGAACUUGUACUGAAACAUUAACGGUUGCUGCUGCACAUGUUUUUCAUUUACCUCAAAGCUGGGUUUUAUAUCAUGGCACUUAUUUGUGUGACAUGUCUUUAUCAAUCCCCAAAAAGAUUUCCCUUUUUCAUUUGUUGCUUUAAUUGAUUUUGAGGUCUUAUGCUCUUUUCUGUACAAAGCUUUGCAUAUUACUCUGGCAAUGCUUCUCUUCCUUUGUUAUAAUCUUACUCUAUGUUGAGAAUGAUGCAGAUUAAUAAUGCAGGAUCCAAUGCCUAUAGUUAUAAACCAUUGGCAGAAGCAUCAGAUGAAGAUCUUAUGUGAGCUUACAUAUACAAUCUUUUUUUUUUCUCCUCUUUAUUCUGUUUGGUAUGUUGUUCCAUUGAUUUAUAAUAUGGGUUGUCCUUAUGCAGUGAAGUUGUUUCUACAAACACCCUUGGGUUGAUGAUUUGCUGCCGAGAGGUAAAAACAUAUUCUCAUUUUUCUUGCUUGGACUGCUUUAGUUCUGUUCUGAUGCAUAUAGUUGUCUCUCAGGCCAUCAAGAUGAUGUUGCAGCAGCCUCGAGGUGGUCAUAUUUUUAACAUUGAUGGAGCCGGUUCAGACGGAAGACCAACCCCAAGGUACUGUAGCCCAGAAAUAUUGGGAGCUGUUUUGUUUAAUUUCUAGUGAAUUCUUCUUGGAUAAAGUGCAAACAAUUUUCUGGAAGUUGUUUUAUGGCUUUAUCUAUCAAAUACAGUUGCAUUUACUUGUUAAAGGGUGCUUUCCAAAUGGGAAAUUUCUACUAUCAUAGUUGAUGUCCUGAUUACUUGUUCUUGUUGAGAAUAAAUACUGCUGGUAACGAUUUUAUGGUCAUCAACAUCAGAGGAAGCGGUGUGAAUGAGUAUUCUGCUCUUGCUUGAUCCUUUAUCUCCUGAAUUUCUUUUGGGCGAAUUCCUACCUGAAUUUUUUUUCCCUUUCCCGAGCUUGUGUUUGUUGUUGCCUAGAAUUUAUGCGACUCUGCAUUAUUGCUGCCAAAAUGAGUCAAAAAUUUGUGCUGUUUCUUCCAGUAGUUCAUGAAUACAUUGAUAGUUACUGUGUGAAGUUCUUCAUCAGCCUAUUCAACUUGUUCAUUAAGAGUUUAAUUUGAUGAAACCAGGUGAAAAAUGUGAGGGCUUUCAUCCUUCAUUUUCUUUAUGUUCUGAUGGAAAAACCAAUCUUGGAUCUUCAUUGAUGCUUUAUAUGGAUAAUUCAGUUCUAUUUUUCUUUUGGUUAUGGUUAGUAAGGUGACCUUAAAUGUGGUAAAGGUAAGAGGGAGGAUGCUCAAAGGAUGGAAAGUUUUCCCUUUAAAAGAUAAGCAAAUGAAUAUAUCUAUAUCUUGCAUGUGCAGUGCCAUAACAUUGUCUCAGCUUCAUACCUUCUGGUAUUCCAACCCAGUUUUCGUGGUAAUUUUAAAUUACCUGCACUGCACUCUACUUUCCAAUUUCCAUAUGUGUUGCCUUUUGUUCACCAUCAUCUUGCUUUAUCACAACCUCAUAGCAGGUUUAUAUUGAAUUUUUAUGCUUCAUUUAAGUGAUACUCACUGUUUUUCGAGCAUUACAUCUUUCAAGAAGGAUCAUACAAGUCUUUCCUAGCAUGUCGUUUUUAGGAUAGGAAAAUUACAUUAAAGUGUUCUGUUAUUUUUCUGGUUAGGCUAAUAGAGUCCUCUCUCUGUCAUUGUAGCUGAAGAACAUUGGAGGCUGUAUUAAAUAUCUUAACUUCCAUUCUUCCAUGCAUAUGAAUUACAUUGUGUAUCUCAAAUCAUUAUGUCAUAUUUUUGUUUGGGUUUUUACUUCUUUGAUUAUCUGAUACGAGUCACAAAAACCCAAAUUUUUGAAGGCGAGGCCCAAUAAGCAAAUUCCCAGCCCAAUCAAGAAAUCCAUCCAUACUUAGUUGAAAAUCAGGCUAAAUUGUCAAAGUGGCCCAAGUUGUAAGGUUUUAUUUUUAUUUUUAUUUAUUUAUUUAUUUAUUUACUUAGUUUAAAUUUUUAUGUCAAUAUUCAGUCCAAGAGUCCCAGAUAAAAUGACCUUUGACCGAAUUUCCAUAUUAAAAUAAUUAGGAGUUUUUUUUAUUUUAGUUUUCUAAUUAGAUUAGGACUAGUUAUAAGGCUUAUUUAAAGGCAUGGCUGUCCACCUUGUAAAACACUUAUCAUUAUUAUUAAAAUUUCAGAUUUGUUGAGAGCAGAAUUUUCUUUGAGUUUUCUCCAAGAUUUCUCUCUUGAGUUUUCUUUAGAAGUUGUUUUAACAAUCUUGUGAUUGUGGGAGCCAUCUUCAACCUUCUUCUUGCCAUUGAUAUUCUUUGGAGGGGAGAUUAGAGCCGUUUGAAGGGAGUUGUGAGAUCUUUCGAGAUUUCAAGGCUUCUUAGGACUUAUCUUUUAAUUUCUUACUGUCAAUUCUUUCUUUAUUUCUACUUGUGCUGAAUCAUUAUCUAAUCUAUUUUCUGUUCUUAUUGUGUUUUCAGCCUUUUUCUAUCUUAAGGAAUCAGCCCAAAAAUCCCUAAUUUUUAGGGUUUUUCCAUACUCUUUUUGGGUGAAAUUAGAUUGUCGAAAUUUGGGGAAAACUAUCUUGGUGUUCAAUUGGGCAGAAUCACAAUCUCCUUGAGGGUUUCAAGAACCCUAACACUUAUUUCUAUUCUCAAUUUGAUUCUUUGCUGAUUUGGGGAUUUUAUUUCAAAUCUGAAAAUUCAAAAAUCUAAUCUUUUAAUUUUCUGUUUCGUUUCAGAUCUAAUUGUUUAGGGUUUUCGUAGGAGUUUCCCGUGACUUGGCAACUCGAUCUUGGUCCGCGCGCAACCCCGUAUCAUUUGGUAUCAGAUUUUGGGCGUUUUGGGUGUUCUUGGUUGAUUUCUAAACUGAUCUCUAUUUUUUAAAGCAUAAACAGCAGUUUUACCCAGAAAAAUUGUUCAAAAAAAUUCAUUUGAGUGGGUAAACGUUGUCCGAUUGAUCUGAAAUUUUACAUACAUGUGUUUGGCACUGUGAUUGAAUACAAAAAAAUUAUUCCCGCAAAAAAAUCAGUCAAAAAGUCAAAAAAAUCGAAAAAAAGACGAAAUCCAAUAAAAAUUUUAAAAAAAUUCAGCGGGUUGAGUUUGGUGCCCAAACUUUCCAGAUCAAAAAUUAAAUAUUUAAGGACAUUCGAGAUUUAAUUUUGUGAUUUUUUGAGAUCAGGAACACCUCGAACGAAGUUGUCAAGUUACUCUACAGUUUUUCGGGUUUUCUGUUUUCAGCAAUUUUUAUUGAUUCUUAGCUGUAGGUUUUCAUUUGUUUGCUUUUUAUUAUUCUUUUAAAAUAUCUAACACCUUCUUGUUUCUUGUGUUAGUAGGAUUUAAACGUGUGCACAAUCCUUCCUCGGUGCAACACGAAUCACUUGGUGUCUCGUCAGUUUUUGGCAUCCUAGUGCAAAUUAGGAUUCUUUGGUAGUUUGGUUCACACUCUCUAAUUGGUUGAUAUAAACUCUAAUAAAGAACUCACAAGAUUGAAUUCGAUCUCAUUGAGAAUUUGAUUUUUCUUUUUGAGUGAUUAAUGGUGAGUUUGCUAACUUUUAUUUUUGAGUGUUGAGUAUUUAUUUUUUACAGGUUUUAAAGAUGUCUAAAGGUGAUAAUAAUGAUGCACUUAUGAAAGUCCAACAACAGUUAGACAGACAUACUGCUGUAAUCACACAAAUAAAUGCUACACCUCAAGCAUUGAAUACUACUUUGAAUGAGGUACGAGUGAAUCAAAAACAUCAAUAUCGAGAUCCAAUUAAGGAAGAUAGGGAUAACCAGCCCCAUAGGUGCAACCCUCAACGUGUCCCUAGAAUGGAUGAUGAUUGUCAUGAUCAUGGACAAUCAUCUUUGGCAAAACCAAAGAGCGAGCAGCAACGAGAACAUCUCUUUCAUACUCGCUGCCACGUACAAUGUAAGCUUUGUAGAGUUAUUAUUGAUGGUGAAAGUUGCUCGAACAUAGCCAGCACGACGAUGGUGGAAAAGCUUUGCUUAACCACUACCAAGCAUUCACAACCUUAUCAACUACAAGGGCUUAGCAACGAAGGCCAAUUUAGGGUCACUCAACAAGUGCGCAUCGCCUUUUCUAUCGGUAAGUAUCAAGACGAAGUUGUGUGCGACGUAAUGCCUAUUCAAGCCUGCCAUUUGUUGCUAGGAGAACCGUGGCAACUAGAUCGAAAAGUCACUCACGAUGGUCGUACCAAUAGGUAUUCUUUCAAGCAUCAAGGAAAGAAACUCACCUUAGUGCCGCUCACUCUAGAACAAGUCCAUGAGGACCAAAUCAAACUGAAAAAUUCUGUUAAAACAAGUGAGGAAAAAGAAAAAGAGAAUGAAAAAGAGCAAAAAGAGAUUGAGAGUGAAAAAGAAAUUGAAGAAAGAAGAGAAAAUGAAUUAGAAAAAGAAACAAAAGAAAAAGACGUGGAAAGGGUAGUGAGGAAUCUUUCCACUAACCAAGAUAUGAAUUUUUCUUGUGUUGCUACUUUUCAGGUUCCCGAAAGAUCGAAAGAUAACUUUCAACUUCAAUACCUCUCAAAUGAAAGACGCUUUCAUACGAUCAACUUAAGCAAAGAUGAAAUCACACUACAUGAUCCCGAAGGUAAGCGAGGUAAGGAAAUUUUAGAAACCGAGUCCAGUGCAGAUUUGAAAAUUAUUGAUAAAACUUUUGGUGACUUAGUUUUUAAAAGAUCCCCUCAUUUUGAUCCGAUUAAUUGUUACUCUUCGAUUGUGGUUGAUAAAGUCAUUACGAAAAGAAGCGUGAUUUGUUAUUCUCUUGAUUUACCUUGUGUAAAAUUCUCGAAUUUGUCCAAAUCUGUUUUGGAGAAUAAGGUAACGAAAUUUUCCAAAUUUGUUUUCAAUUUAUAUUCGUGCCUUAAACAAUUUAUGUGGUUGUACAUGAAGUUUGAGUUCCAUUUGACAAAGGUUAACUCAACAACGGAGAUUCGACUACACUAUGCUCCCGAUGAGCGAAGGUUUGUUUUAAAUGAAAAAGGUAAAAUCGACCCUUAUUCUUCUGCUUAUCGAGGUAAGAUGCUUGAAACCUUUGAAACACUUUUGUACUCCUCGGAUAGUGAUAAAGAUCGUGUUGAUGAACACUUAGAUCGAAACGUGCUUGACUGUCCUAUUUUAUUUAUUGAUGAUCUAUCUGUUUUGAUAGUUGAUAAAAAGAUUCUUGUUUUUGAUAAUGCAUGUGUGAGUGAAUCUAUAGACCGUUGAUUAAUGCAUGGUAUGAUUAUGCAACUCUGUGAACCAUGUGAAUCUUUUCAAAUACCUACUUGUGACGAUUAUGUUUACCAUUUGAUUUAUUACUCGCAAUUUAUUCAUGGUUUGUGGGAAUAAUGUGAGACGACUGAAUGCCUUAAAACAUGUCCAUCUUUGUUUCAAAUAUUUGACGAGGCAGUGGUGAGUAAAUUAGAUUGUUUGCAUGGUAAUCUGAAUCUGUCCAUUCACAUGCGUUAUACCUGUUCUGUUAUGCUUAUGAUUGGACUACAAGCUUGUUUCCGUUGCUAUUUACUAUCUCAUGGCUAUUCUUUUCAGUGGACUCAAUUGCCAUUAGUCCCGUUCGAUAGAGGAAAGUCGAGUUCAUUUGAUUUUUCAGAUUCGAGGACGAAUCUUUUUGAGGAAGGGGGAAUGAUACGAGUCACAAAAGCCCAAAUUCUUAAAGGCGAGGCCCAAUAAGCAAAUUUCUAGCCCAAUCAAGAAAUCCAUCCAUACUUAGUUGAAAAUCAGGCCAAAUUGUCAAAGUGGCCCAAGUUGUAAAGUUUUAUUUUUAUUUUUAUUUAUUUAUUUAUUUAUUUACUUAGUUUAAAUUUUUAUGUCAAUAUUCAGUCCAAGAGUCCCAGAUAAAAUGACCUUUGACCGAAUUUUUAUAUUAAAAUAAUUAGGAGUUUUUUUUAUUUUAGUUUUCUAAUUAGAUUAGGACUAGUUAUAAGGCCUAUUUAAAGGCAUGGCUGUCCACCUUGUAAAACACUUAUCAUUAUUAUUAACAUUUCAGAUUUGUUGAGAGCAGAAUUUUCUUUGAGUUUUCUCCAAGAUUUCUCUCUUGAGUUUUCUUUAGAAGUUGUUUUAACAAUCUUGUGAUUGUGGGAGCCAUCUUCAACCUUCUUCUUGCCAUUGAUAUUCUUUGGAGGGGAGAUUAGAGCCGUUUGAAGGGAGUUGUGAGAUCUUUCGAGAUUUCAAGGCUUCUUAGGACUUAUCUUUUAAUUUCUUACUGUCAAUUCUUUCUUUAUUUCUACUUGUGCUGAAUCAUUAUCUAAUCUAUUUUCUGUUCUUAUUGUGUUUUCAGCCUUUUUCUAUCUUAAGGAAUCAGCCCAAAAAUCCCUAAUUUCUAGGGUUUUUCCAUACUCUUUUUGGGUGAAAUUAGAUUGUCGAAAUUUGGGGAAAACUAUCUUGGUAUUCAAUUGGGCAGAAUCACAAUCUCCUUGAGGGUUUCAAGAACCCUAACACUUAUUUCUAUUCUCAAUUUGAUUCUUUGCUGAUUUGGGGAUUUUAUUUCAGAUCUGAAAAUUCAAAAAUCUAAUCUUUUAAUUUUCUGUUUCGUUUCAGAUCUAAUUGUUUAGGGUUUUCGUAGGAGUUUCUCGUGACUUGACAACUCGAUCUUGGUCCGCGCGCAACCCCGUAUCAUUAUCUGUCUUCUUUUUACAGGUUUGUUGCAUAUGGAGCAACCAAACGUAGUGUUGUGCAUUUGACAAAAUCGCUGCAGGUAAUGUUCAACUUGCCUUGCAUAGUGUCUUGCAGUCUAUAACUUCUUGGGAGGAAACUAAUCCAAUUGUUUUCGUUUUUGUUCAUGUUUUCAAUUGGGUGUAUUGUCUAUUUUCCUUUUUGAAACAUCCCAAGAUUCCUUUUCUUUAUGGCAUAUUAUCCGGCGGUAUAAAAAGCUUACCAUAAAAAAUCAGGGUGUGAUAGUUUAAAUAAGUACCUUAAGUCACAAAUCCAAUUUUGUCUGGUUAUUUGCUUCUUUUGGACAUGAAACCAUAACCAUUCAAGUUUUAAGGAGUAUUUUGUUUUCCUUUUUACAAGUUAUUAUGCAGAGGCUCAAAGUUCACCAUCCUCAUUGUCAGAAUUUAUAAUAUUUGAGGGUGUGUAAAUGCACCUAUUAUGCAUGCAUGUAGUAGAAGUCUAGAUAAGGAAAUAAAGUAGGACCCAAGUUGUAAUUUAUGCAUGUAGGAUAAGGACAAAUCAUAUACCAUUUGUACUUGUUAUGUAGAGGCUGGCAGAAAAUUGAGCCUCAAGCUGACAUAAUGUCUUCGGUUAAAAAGAUUUCCUUGCAUCUUUCUCCCCCAAAAUGAUUGUAUGAGUACAGUUUGGAAUCUUGGGAGUUGCUCUCUUCUAAUGAUUUGAAAUAGGAAUAGUUUAGUUUUUGACAAAAUGAGCACGAUAGGCAUCAUAGUGACACAUUUGAGGAUAUAUAUGCAUUGGGACCUUGUCAACAGUUUAUUAUUCUCUUUUAUUUUUCCUUAUUAAUAUAUUGUAUGCGGUCAUUAAAAAAAAAUAAUGUAAACAAUACUCUUAAUGACUAUAAUGUUUAUUUAUCUUUUCUGGCAAGGACAUUUCCUAUGGAAGUUCAUUUGUAAUGCUGGUUUUCUUACCUAUUCACAGGCUGAACUGCAGAUGCAAGAUGUUAAAAAUGUCGUAGUACAUAAUUUAUCGGUAUGUUUUUAUGUUAAAAAAAAUCAUCUAAUUUCCAUCUCUUAAUGUUAAGCCUGCCAUACUGAAUGGUGCUUGUAUAUUUCUCUUCUCUACUUAUCUUGUUUUUAAUCUUAAAUCUACCUGAUGCAUUUGUGCUUUAGGUUAAAUUUGUUGCUUUCGUAUUAGUUCCUCACAGGAAUUCCUCCAGAUAAAUUAUGCACACGCAAAAAUGCUUAAAACAGAAAAUCAAGGAAGCUAAACAGUAUUGGAGUUUUUUACACAAACCGUAUUUUCUAAAUUUCCAUCUCAAUAUGUGCCUCAAAAAUUUAGACAUACUCUCCGGUUACUCUCUUUCAGUCAGAAGGACCUUAGUUUUGGAGAAUUAAAUUGCAAAUAUAAUCCAAGGGUUUAGGUUCAAGGUAUGAAGCUGAUCAACAAGAUCAGAGGAUGAUUAACCUUUCCAUUCAAUAGGAAUCACUGGAACUGACUUGGAGCAAAAUGUUAUAUCAAUCACAACAUUCAUCAAAUCAUGACAUCUAGAAGUUUUAGAUAGUCCCAAGACAUAGUUUAAGGUUCAUGUGGCAAAGGAAAAAAACCACUGUUUUAUUUCUUAGCCUAUGCAACAAAGCUAGCAAGUACGACAGUAAUACACAGGCCCUUUAAUAUCAUUCUUCAGUGAAGGUCUAAUAGUAGCUAACCUAAGUUAAUGUUGUGGGCUUAUCUCUUCCAAAAUCACAAUCUAACCAUCUGCAUACAUUUUUCUAGCUAAAACUUCUACCGAAAUGACUGUUGUUCAUUGUCCUUGAAUAUGGCCUUCAGUCCUCAGAAGGUCACGGUUAUAUAUGUACUCAUUGUAUAGCAGAAGUAUUCUACAUGAGCCAAAAUGCCUUGGUGGUUAGUUUAAAUGUGACCACUGGCGAGAUAAAAAUAUGGGUUAUACUGAUUAAGACAUUAAGUAUAAAUUAGGCUUACUUCUUUAGACCUUUCAAGAGGAACUACAGUUCAGAGAAUAAGUAGCUCCAUUUGGAUUUGUAUGCUUGUGGGAAUCUUGUUAACAAUCUUCCUUUCAAGACCAAUUUUAGCUUAGUUCAAUCUUCAUUUUUAAUCCCAGUUUUGGUCAAGCAGUGACCAGAUAAGGAUUUGAUUUUUGCUUUAGCAAAGACUGUUUUCAUGCAAUUCAUGAAGGUGACAAUACAUGCAUUUCUUAUUAGGGCAGGCACCUAUGCAUCAUAAAAUUGUUAACAGUUUAUUGUGAAGUUAGCAUAUCCCUUGAAGUGGGAGAGAAAAAUGCGCACUCUCUCACUGCUGUUAGGUAAAUGGUGUGCCUCGAUUGAAAAGAUGCUCGGGUGAAAAGGAAUGUACAUAAUAUUUUUAAGCUUUAUCUCAUAAUUUGGUUUACUGUGCUAACCUAAAGUAUACCUUUACUCUCCUUUCAUUCUGCAUUGUUAAAUCCACGCAUUUUAGCUACUUGCCCCCUUCAGUUUUGUUUCCUUUGUAAGUUUUAGAAAAGAAUUUAUGGACCUCAUGUGGGGUUCCAGAAGUGAGAUGUCAUCUGAGUGCUUGUUGUAAUUGAUUAUUUGAAAUGCCUCCUCUUUCUAUGAAAUAUAUUAUUCCAACUCUUCAUUUUUCAUGAAGGAUCUAUAUCUCAAGCACUCGUGAACACAUAUCCAGCAGUAGCUAUGAGGAUAUGCCCUCCUAGGACCCUUCAAAUACAUGAAAAUCUUUUUUAAAAAAUUAAACAAACCCAUAUUGGAUAUAUACAGGUGUCUAACACCCAUCUGUCCGUAAAUGCUAUCUGUAUCUGUUAUAUUUUUUAACUAUUUUCAUACUGUCAUUUUUCUUUUCCUUUUCAGCCUGGAAUGGUUACAACUGAUCUUCUCAUGUCUGGUGCAACCACAAAGCAGGUUGACCACACAUCAUAUCCUUCUCCUGUUAGUUCAGUUUUUAAAAGAAAAUUUCUAAUUUUUUGUCAUUUUCAGGCCAAGUUUUUCAUCAAUGUUUUAGCAGAACCCGCUGAAGUGGUAAGACUUAGGGUAGUAAUCUACAAGCUUAAUCUAUGGUUCUUUAUUUAUAGCUUUUCAGUUUUAACAUGUCGAGAUUACACCUGAUCAAAUUAAAGAAAAUAUAUGGGCUCGAAGUCUCUGUCUAAAUAUGGUGAAGACCUGAGCUGAAAUAAGAUUGCAGUAUCUUAAUAUAAUAAAUUUAUUGAAAUCUGGUCACUUACGGAAUAGUUUUGCAUGGAUAGUGUGUUACUUGGUAAACUUGAUCAAAUUAGUAAUUGUUAUCUAAGGGGUCAACAAUUUUGUUCCUUAUUUUUCCUCGUUAUUCACUGUUUUGCGGGUGGGGUUCAUAGGUUGCAGACUACCUUGUGCCGAAUAUCAGGUCGAUCCCAGCAAGUGGAUCAUGGAAGCCAACGUAUAUUCGGUUCCUCACUGGAUUGAAAGCUUACUCUCAAAUAUUUUCAGUUAAGAAAUGCAGCAGUUUCUCUUAUUUUUUUCAUCAUUCCUGAACUUACUGGCAUCAAAUAUUUAACCUGUAGUGUAGUAAAAUAGAUGUUCACUUAUUUUGUGUUUUUGGGCUGCCCUCAUGAUGCAGAGACUAGCAUUCGGUGCAAGACGAAACCGAUACGUGCUUGAAGAUUGAAGAACAUCAUCCAAUAUGUAAAGUUCCUAAAUCUUUAAGAUCCCACCCCCAUUUUUCUAUGCCAAAAUUGGUGUGUAACAUCCGCAGAAUUCAUGUACAUAUUGUUUUUUGUUUAGCAAGAAUUCCAUCCCUAAUGCUUUUUAAUGCUUCACUCUUUUAUUUUCUUUAAUUUUCUAUGCCAGAAUUGGUUGUUUUAAUAUUAAAAUGGGCUUUAGGGUUAAUCUGACCCAACUUGGUCUUGGAAAGAAAAUAAAAAGAAUUUCAAGAAUGGACAACAAAAAGUGUAAUCAAACUGUAUCAUUUCAUUUUCAUUAAAUAAUUUACAUGAAAUAAUGUUAUAAGAUAUGUAACAACAUAAACACCAACUUAAGGUGUACUAAUUCUAUCCUUCGGAUAGCAAACAAUCAUGUGAUGACCAUAUCCAUGUGCAAAUAUGAGCCGGACACAUAUGUCACGAUUGCUUCAAGAAAUAUGAAGAGUCUAAGCAGCGUCCGCAACGGAGAAUAAUGCUCUGCAAAGCCUAAAGAACAUGAUGGAAAGAGGGGUGAAGAACAAAAUCAUCCUUUUCAUCUCCUAGGAACCUCCAAGAUUGAAUUCAUUUCUAUUUCUACAGCUCCAGAUUCACACAGAGUCCGAAACUUCUCCGCUUCCCUUGCGAUCUGAACAUCGCAUGGUGCGUACAACUGAUAAAGAGCUUUGACAACAAAAUGAGGAAUUAGUGCGGCUACGAUGAUUGCAAGCAAACACAACCAAAACAAUCCGGUCUUCGCGAUUUCAAAGAUGGCCCUGUCAAAGCAUAUCGGUUGGUAAGGGUCAAAACAUAUCAUACAAUUGACAUUGCAAAAUAUCAAUGAAGCAUUUACUUUGGAGUACCAAUAUAUUGCAAAUCAUUAGCAGCAUAGAAUCAACUAAGUAAAUCUUUUACCAUGAAUAAUUAUUUCCAUUUUGCUAAGGUCAAAAGAUCGUAAUUGAGAAUUUGAGAUGUUCUAGUCUAGAGAUGGCUGCUAAGUACAUAGAUCUCUAAACUCGAGGAUGAUCAUGCUGACAUACAUACAUACAUACAUACAUACAUACAUACAUAUGCACGUUCAAGAGAGCACACACACGUGCACAUGCAUACAUGCAUAUCUAUUUGAUAUAUAGAAGGGAAACUCAUAGAAAUCUGAACAUAAAAUGACUCGAAUUCAAAGUUGAUCCUAUAUUUACCACCUCUAUAUGUACUAUGUACUUGUAGAACAUAGGCCUUUGUGUUAGCAGGAAAGGAAAAAACCUAAUGUUUUAAGGUAUUUCAUGGGGAAACUGUUGAAAAUAUUUCUCAAUUCGCUCGAUUAAAGUAAAUUAAACUAACUGAAAUAUGUAUAUUAUAUGAUGAUAAAAGAGGCUUACCAGUAACCGACUAAAAAUGGUAAAGCAUCAAUAACGAUAACGCAAAUGAAAGUUGCAAUUAUAGAUCCCCAAAUAGCAGCAUGAGUUAACCAAUUCCACCGGUUAACAUCCAUGGCCAAAUGUAAAUUAACCAAUAUGACAACCGCAAGAGUCCAAAGAUCUCCUAUGCUCGAUGCAUCAAUGGUGCUCUCCCAGUAUGCAAGAAGAGGAAUAAAGAAGGUGACUGUGCUCUGCCAGAAAGUAUCGAUCAUUGUAAUCCAGAAAAGCUUUUUGUUGUAGCAUUCUUGUUUUUGACCGGCCCUAUACAGCUGAGGGUACUUUAAAAGAGUCCUUCGGCUCAGAUCCUUGUCAAGAAUACUAACCACAAUCGUAGGCAAUGCUGUGUAGAUUACAGAAUGCAACACACUGCUCCACUCUGUGAUUGCAGUGGUCAAUGUGAAACUAGUAAAGAGCACAUACCUGCAAAUAAACAUAGAGAAGUUUAAAAAGUAAUCUACAAAAGAAUUUCAUUUUGUUUAACCAAAAUGUGAUUCAACUUCUAUUUCUGAACCCAACAUACGUAAAUGAUUUUGAACCAACGGCGAUCAAAAUUCAGUAAUCUUAAUCCAAGUGAGCACCGGAAGAAUUAUACUUUUUCUUUGUUCAGUGGGGAGGUAAGGUAGUCUAAAUCCCUAAUACAAGUGGGGUGUACAAGUAAAAGAUCAAUAUUUGCAUGCAGCUAUUGAUUGAAAUGCCCUAGUAAAGUGGUAGGAAUAGAUUUAGAUAUAGUUGGCAUGCCAACGAAACCUUACUGGUACCAUUAAAGUAUACGGGGUAUGGGAGAGUACGGGAUUGAUGUCUAUAUAUUUGUAUUAUUGCACUAUGUGCAUCUGGUGUGAUGGAGGCUAUUUGAUACAAUUUUUUUUAUACUAUCGGUGUGAUGGAGGACUAUGCAGUGAAUCUAAGGUGAAAACAAUGUUGGUUUAGACCACCAACAUGCUCAAACACCUAAUGUAGGUUGAAUAUAUGCAUUUACUAAAAAUUGUAACUCACCAAAAUAAAACAAGGACAAAUACUGCAUUCCUGUAAAAAUUGUAAAGUAUCAUGUAGCCCAUCCUCUGGUAAUUCCAAUGGCCAUGGACCAACAAAAGAGGAACUAAGAAUCUGAACUGCCCCAUCGCGAAGUCAGAUGCCAUUACAGCUUGCCUACCCUCUUGGCCACUGAUGCCAACUCCGACAUCCGCCAUUUGGAUCAUUGAAACAUCAUUGGCACCUGUCAAGCAUUCGGCAGUGUGAAAUAAUUUAGCCCAAAUCACCAAUAAGAAAGCAGCUAAUUUUUUGCUAUAUUCUAGAUCAUAAGAUGAAGAUGAUGAUUAGAAAAUAAAUUGAUUGAUGAUUACCAUCCCCAAUGGCAAGUGUCAUGUCUGCAGUCCUCUUCUUUACAAGGGAAACAAUUCCGGCUUUCUGUAAUGGGGCAACCCGACAACACAAAACCACAGAACAAUUACAGGAUAACUGGAAGAGCUGCAAGAAAAGAUGAAAAACUAAGUCAGACCAGCAUGCAGAACAUCACAAGUGAAAAAAAAAAAAAAAAAACAACAACAACAACAACCACCAAAAAGAAACAUGAGUUUAUGACUCCGUACCCUUUCUUCCAGUUCACUGUCAAGAAUAUAUACAAGACUAGUGCCAUCAAUAAUCAAGGCUAUAGGAGUUGAACCAGCUCCUGACGUUCCUCCGGUGUUAUUUGUAGUGCCUGAUAUAGCCGAUGUAGUUGUGAGUUUCUUAGACAUAAUGAUGGCAUCUUCUAAACUCUUUCUACACGACUCCAUAGAUUUGCUGUUAAUUAUGAUUUGUGUCAUUUUACUAGUCAAGAGCUUUGAGGAAUACCCAAUUGAUAUGGCAGUUUCCUGCUUGUCCCCAGUCAACACCCAUACUUUUAUCCCCGCUGUUCUAAGAGAUUCAAUGGCUUCUGGCACUCCUUGUUGCAGUUUAUCUUCAAUACCAGAGGCACCUAGUAUAUGGAGAUUGUUCUCAAUAUUGUUCGCAACCUUCCGAAGUAAACUGGCUCUACCCAUUAGAGCAGUACUUGCUGCUUCAAAUGUGGAGUGCCAUUGCUUGAAUUCUGAAGUACUCAGUUCUCUCAUCCCAACAACAAGUGUUCUCAAACCUAAAGAGGAGUAAGAGUGAAGAUGGGCUUCAGUAGUACGUAUUACCUUCAUAUUCCAUGGACCUAUCUAUGACACUAAACAUUGAUGUGUCAGCGCCUUUUACAAACACUUUUACAUAUCUGUCGGGGAACCCCAGUAUAACAGACAUCCUCUUCCGAUCACUAUCAAACUCGUGCAAACCAAAAACAUUGAACCUGCAUGGCCCAAAAUAUUUUUAUUCAUCAACAGAAGAAAAAUAUAAUUAAAAUCCAGGAGUACAACACUAGCAAAACUAGCAGCACAUCUCCCUUUUUUUUUCUCCCAAACCAUGAAAAUUUCAAUGUCAAUUCUUAACCUUACGUUUUCUCAAUGUCUCAAAUUUUCAACAAUAAAAGGAAAAGGAAAGUGACAGCAAAAAUAAGACAGGUUUUCACAGACUUUUCACCUACCUUAGUACUAGGUAAAUAUGAAAAGAAUAAGUAACAUAAAUAAUGAUAAUAACCUCAACUACUAUAAAAACUAUAUUUGAACCAUGAAAGAUACAGGUCAUUCCACUUGUACAGGUUAAGAGUUUAGUUCAAAAUCAUGAUAUUCGUGCAAAAUUAGUUGAGGAAAAUUCCAAAGACUCAUAUGUAUGUAUGUACGUGCGUAUGUAUGUAUGGUGAAAAUAAAUUCAACAAGAUAGAAGUCAGCAAUUUGGAUUACCUUUGCCUUUCUCCUUGAAUAUCAAUCACAAUAUGGCCAGAGGUUCGUUCUAUCAGCAUAAAUCCAUAUGAUGCAGCAGCAUAAACCAAUGCUUGUUCAUCUGGAGACUCUCCUUGGUAAUCUAUCAACUUUACGGUAGGAUCAGGCGUAUCUACAAUUAGAGGCACAAUUGUAUUGCAAGCUGCCAAUGCAAGGAAGAAAUCAUAUACAUGACUGCCUUCUUGUGUCUCUUUUCCGUUCCUUGCGAAUUGUAGAAGCUCCGGAUCAGUCUUAACCUUCAUCUUAGGCCUCAAAACCUUUCCAUCCACUGAUUAGAAAGAAGGAAACAAAGUCAGAAAAUGCUAAAGAGAUCUCAAAAACAUUCCUUUCUAUGACAAAAGGUAUUAGAAAUAUAUCUGUUGUUUACCUUUGACAAAGUAACCAUCAUUCUGAUCCAGUGAAAUGGCAUUUCCACCACUGUAAUCUACCCCCCAAAUGCUUGCACACUGAAAUUCCAUCUUGUUCUCAGUAAGUGUACCAGUUUUGUCAGAGAAAACAUAUUUUAUUUGUCCUAGAUCCUCAUUUAUAUUCAAAGCCCUGCACUGAAAUCUCGACUUUGAAGACUCAUCGUACAUCCGGGUAUCUCGAAUCAUGAAGUAAGCUUGACCAACCCGGACUAGCUCCAUGGAAAUAUACAAUGAGAUGGGAAUCAUGAUCUGGAACACAAUUACUGACAUUAGGAAUGUGAAACAUAUUUCCAAUCCCCAUCCAUAAUAAUUAUAGUUCUCUUCUUCUCCAUCAGAGAAUUCCUUUCUUCUAUAGAAAGGCAAGUAAUCCAACUCCUUCCUGUGGUGCCUCAACCAAACAGCGGCACAAAUAGAGACAACUGUACACAAAGCAAUAAGAAACAAUGAUAGGAAGAUGAUCUCCAAGUUCAUAUGAGUCUCAAGCCGGCUCCUUUUAGAUGGGGCUCCUGAGCUGUUAAGCAUAGCUUUAGUCUCACGACCAGCAUAGACAGCAACCCCAACAGCCCAAGCAGUAUUUUUUAGCUCACACCCACGAAGAAUAAUAUUGGAGGGACCAAGUGACAGUUGUUUCCCAUCCACUUCCAUGUUCGCCUGAAAUCCAUAUAUGUUCCUGUUGGGUUUCUCACACUUGAUCAACCCAAUAACCUCAUCAUUUUCUGGAAUCUUCAUAAGGGUCUCUUGUUUUGCAUAGCGUGUCUUCAAAUUGGAUUCUCCAUCCAAAUUAAUAGUCUGCACAUAUGCAACCCCAGUUGGAUCACUAGUUGAGAGCAGAACCAUAUCACAAGGAAUGGUUUCAUUUGCAUAAAUCUUGAUUAUCUCACCAACCUGAAUGUUCUUCCAUUUCUUUUCUUGAAAUUGAUCAUCUACCAAAACUGAUGCUAGCCUGUUAUUCUCAAUCCGGUCCGACCUAUGGCGCCUAUAGUCCUCAUAUGCAUCUUUAACUGCUGUAACCAAAAGGACAAAUGCCAAUGGUAGAAUGGAAGCUCCACGACCAAAUACUGCAAGCUGAGGCAGCUGAUUAAGCACAGCAAUGAGAAGGAAGUAUAUAUAGGCAACUCUAUGAAACUGCUCAAACAAGUUCCUAGGCAAAAAUGUUAGGAUCGAGUACUUCCCAGUCCGAAUCGAAUUCCCAGAAAACUCGAACCUCUCAUUUGUCUGGACAGGAUCAUUUAUAUGUACCAACCUAGCAUCUUCAUCAUUGAUCUCUUUUUGUGACAUGCUAAUGCUAUACGUCUCUGAAUCAGCACCAUGAGAUCCAUAUCUCACAGGCUUAGUUCCCAAAUCACCAAAAUUCACUUCCCUAAUCGAAUUCCCACCCGAAGCUUUGGACUGAACAGAAAAAUUGCUCCUUCUUGAUGAGGAACUGAAGGCAGAUUCAAUACUAUAAAAAUCCUCAAAUGAGGUUCUUGAAUCCAUCCCAAAAACAAAUGCAGGAUCCCCUCCAACUUUCUUCUUCUAGAUCAGAGGACUAUUGAUACGGGGUUGCGCGCGGACCAAGAUCGAGUUGCCAAGUCACGAGAAACUCCUACGAAAACCCUAAACAAUUAGAUCUGAAACGAAACAGAAAAUUAAAAGAUUAGAUUUUUAAAUUUUCAGAUCUGAAAUAAAAUCCCCAAAACAGUAAAGAAUCAAAUAGAGAAUAGAAAUAAGUGUUAAUAAGGAAUCUUGAAACCCUAGAAGAGAUUGCGAUUCUGCCCAAUUGAACACCCAGAUAGUUUUCCCCAAAUUUCGGCAAUCUAAUUUCUCCCAAAAAGAGUAUGGAUGAAUCGGCAAGAACCCUAGAAAUUGGGGAUUUUUGGGCUAAUUCCUUAAGAUAGAAAAAGGCUGAAAACACAAUAAGAACAGAAAAUAAAUUAGAUAAAGAUUCGGCACAAGCAGAAAUAAAGAAAGAAUUGACAAUAAGAAAUUAAAAGAUAAGUCCUAAGAAGCCUUGAAAUCCCGAAAGAUCUCACAACUCCCUUCAAACGGCUCUAAUCUCCCCUCCAAAGAAUAUCAAUGGCAAGAAGAAGGUUGAAGAUGGCUCCCACAAUCAAAAAGAUUGUUAAAACAACUUCUAAAGAAAACUCAAGAGAAAAUCAUUGAAGAACUCAAAGAGAAUUUUCACUCAAAUCAAAUCUGAAAUUUUCAAUGUAAUUGUAAUGUAAUGUAGGGUGGCUGGCCAAGCCAUAUAAAUAGGCCUUUCAAAUGUUUUCUUAAUUUAAUUAGAACACUAAAACUAAAACUAAAAAAAAAAACUCUUAAUUAUUUUAAUAUGGAAAUUCGGCCAAAGGUAUUUUAUUUGGGACUCUUGGACUGAAUAUAAAAAUUUAAACUAAGUAAAAUAAAUAAAUAAAUAAAUAAAAAUAAAACUUUACAACUUGGGCCACUUUGACAAUUUGGCCUGAUUUUCAACUAAGUAUGGGUGGAUUUCUUGAUUGGGCUUGGAAUCUUCUUAUUGGGCCUUACCCUCAAGAAUUUGGGCUUGUGAUCCAUCUCCUACCGAAAUUGAAUCGUUGAUGCUCGUAAUGGAGAUCCAAUGCGCUUUGGCUGCAAGAUUUGGUGUCUUGGACCAAGAUUCCCAAUAUUUGAAAUUUUGAUUUUCCCUUUCUUUUGUGUAUGCAUCUAAGGCCUUACUAACAAACUCCUGGAUGGUCCCAUUUAGUUUGGAACGCAUUUGUCGGGCCUUUGAUCUCGUAUCAUUCCCCCCUUCCUCAAAAAGAUUUGACCUCGAAUCUAAAAAAUCAAAUGGGGACAAGUCAGCCACAUUAAAAGUAGAACUUACAUUGUACUCACCAGGUAGAUCAAUUUUAUAGGCAUUAUCGUUGAUCCUCUCGAGUACUUGGAAAGGCCCAUCGCCCCUUGGGUCCAACUUGGUCUUUCUUCUUGCAGGAAAUCGUUCUUUCCUCAUAUGGACCCAAACUCAAUCUCCGGGUUCUAGGACAACCCGUUUGCGCCCCUUGUUUGCUUUGUUGGUGUUGGCAUCAUAUAUUUUGGCUAUUCGUUGCCUAGCCUGCUCAUGUAAGGAUUUCACCAACUCAGCUUUCUGUUCACCAUCUAAAUUAACAAUGUGUUCAAGUGGUAAUGGCGCAAGAUCAAGUACUGUUAGUGGGUUAAAACCAUAAACAAGUUCAAAUGGAGAAUAACCAGUUGUAGAAUGAAUAGAUCUAUUAUAUGCAAAUUCAACAAACGGUAGGCAUUCUUCCCAAUUUCUAAUGUUCUUUCCCAUAACAGAUCGUAAUAAAGUCCCUAAGAUCCGAUUAACUACUUCGGUUUGGCCAUCAGUUUGGGGGUGACAUGUAGUGGAAUAAAGUAAUUUAGUACCAAGCUUACCCCACAAUACCUUCCAAAAGUGGCUAAGAAAUUUGACAUCUCUGUCAGAAACAAUUGUUUUAGGGAUGCCAUGAAGUCUUACCACCUCUUUAAAGAAUAAGUCUGCUACAUGUGUAGCAUCAUCUGUUUUGUGACAAGAAAUAAAAUGUGCCAUCUUUGAGAACCUGUCAACAACAACAAAUAUACUAUCUCUUCCUUUCUUAUUUCGAGGCAAACCUAGAAUAAAGUCCAUGGAUAAAUCUACCCAAGGUGAAGUAGGAAUCGGUAAAGGAGUGUAAAGGCCAUGAGGCAUUACCUUAGAUUUUGCUUGUUUGCAUGUAAUGCACUUGGAACAUACCUUUUCGACAUCCUUUUUCAUAUGUGGCCAAUGGAAGUGUUCUUGCAAGAUAUCCAGUGUUUUGGCCACUCCAAAAUGUCCCAUUAAACCUCCACUAUGGGCCUCAUGAAUCAAUAAGUCUCUCAUGGAACACUUUGGUAUGCAUAACCUGUUCAUACGAAAAAGAAAGCCAUCUACAAGAUAAAAUUUAUCGAAAGCAGUAUGUCCACAAUUCUUAUAGAUAUGGCCGAAAUCAGCAUCAUCAUCAUAUAGUUCCUUAAUAUGUUCGAACCCUAAGACUUUAGCAUUCAAUGUAGUUAUUAAAGUAUAUCGUCUAGACAAAGCAUCUGCAAUUACAUUAUCUUUACCUGUUUUAUAUUGUAUCACAUAAGGGAAUGUUUCAAUGAAUUCUACCCAUCGAACAUGUCUUUUACUCAACUUACCUUGUCCCUUUAACCAUUUAAGAGAUUCGUGAUCUGUGUGUAUGACAAACUCAUUAGGCAGCAAAUAAUGUUGCCAUACUUGAAGUGCACGAACUAAUGCUAAUAGUUCUUUGUCAUAAGUCGAGUAGUUUAACUGUGCACCAUUCAAUUUCUCACUAAAAUAAGCAAUAGGUUGCUUAUCUUGCAUUAAAACAGCGCCAAUUCUAAUUCCUGAAGCAUCACACUCAAGUUCAAAAGUUUUAGCAAAAUCAGGUAAUUUAAGCAAAGGAGCAGAACAUAACUUAGCUUUUAGAGUUUGAAAGGCCUUUUCUUGGGUUUCACCCCAUUUGAAACCCACUGAUUUCUUUAUAACCUCUGUCAAUGGGGCAGCAAUAGUAGAGAAAUCUUUCACAAAUCGUCUAUAAAAACUAGCGAAACCAUGGAAAGAUUUCACCUCAGUUAUCGAUUUAGGAGUCGGCCACUCCUUAAUUGCCUUGACUUUGUCCUCGUCGACAUGAAUACCUUGAGCACUAACUAUGAAACCUAAGAAUAUUAGUUUAUCACAACAGAAUGUGCAUUUAUCAAGGUUGGCAAAUAAUUUUUCAGUUCGCAGAAUAUCCAAAACGGUUCUAACAUGGAAAACAUGAUCAUCUAACGACUUGGAGUAAAUUAAAAUAUCAUCAAAGUAAACUACUACAAAUUUACCCAACUGAAGCCUUAAAACAUGAUUCAUUAAUCUCAUAAAUGUACUAGGUGCAUUAGUAAGGCCGAAAGGCAUAACUAACCAUUCAUACAAUCCAAAUUUUGUUUUAAAAGCUGUUUUCCAUUCAUCCCAUUCCCUCAUUCGAAUUUGAUGAUAACCGCUUUUUAAAUCAAUUUUUGUAAAUAUUAUUGAACCAUGUAAUUCAUCAAGCAUAUCAUCAAGUCUAGGGAUUGGGUGUCGAUACUUUACCAUUAUCUUGUUGAUUGGGCGACAAUCAACAUACAUACGAAACGUACCAUCUUUCUUUGGCACCAAUAAGACAGGAACAGCACAAGGACUUAGGCUCUCACGAAUGUACCCUUUGUCUAGUAAGUCCUCAACUUGCCUUUGCAAUUCCUUUGUCUCAUCAGGAUUGCAUCUAUAGGCUGGUCUAUUUGGGAUUGAAGCUCCGGGUAUUAAGUCAAUUUGAUGUUCUAUCCCUCGUAAAGGUGGUAAACCUUUAGGGGCCUCACUAAAAACAUCCUCAUAAUCCUGCAAAAGAGAUUGAAACACACUAGGAAAAUUUUCGUUAAUGUUAGAUAAAGAUAAAUAAUUUUGCCUAAACCUCACAAGGAUACAAGGCUGUUUAUUAAGUAGGGCUCUCUUCACAUCUUUUUUUGUUGCCAAAAGAUUUUUUUCGCUCAUUUUACCACUAGAGGAUUCACUCACCUUUGGGCUUUUUAAAUUUUGACUUUUUCCACUACUAUUAGCCUCUUUUCUCUCUGUCUUUUGUACUUGCUCUUUCUCCCUUACCCCCUCACAAAAUUUUAUCAUCCUCAAUUGAUCUUUAUAUACGUCAGUAGGAUUUAAAGGAGCAAAAGUGAAUUUCUUACCUUUAAAUACAAGGGAGUAUCGAUUAAGUUUACCUUGGUGUGUAACAUCGCGAUCAAAUUGCCAAGGUCGUCCAAGGAGCAAAUGUGCCGCAUGCAUUGGGACUACGUCACACCAUACUUCAUCUUCAUAAUUGCCGAGUUUAAAAGUGACCAAGGACUGUUUCGUAACUUUAACUUCGGAACAUUCAUUAAGCCACUGAAGGUGAUAUGGCUUAGGGUGUUUGGUGCAAGGUAACUUUAAAGAAUCAACCAAAUAGCUACUCACCACAUUUGAGCAACUACCACUAUCAAUAAUGAGUGAACAUAAGUUACCUUUAAUAAAACACCGAGAAUGGAAAAUAUUGGCCCUUUGGCUAUCAUCAUCUUUCAUCUGAAUGUUAAGGGUUCGACGAACUACAAGGUAUUGAAAAUCAGUAAAGUCUCCUUCUCUGGGUGGUUCAACCAACUCUUCGCCAUUAUCACUGUCAUCAACAAGUUCUGGCAUAUCUGGAUCUGUUUUAUCAGAGUCGGAAGUAUACUCACCAUUAUCUUUUAGAAGAAGGAAUCUCGUGUUAGGGCAUUCCCUACUAUAAUGACCACGCCCUUUGCAGUUAAAACAUUCAACCUCACGAGUCCUCUUCACACUCGAAUCACCUAAAUUGGGCUGCUUAGAAGGUGUUUGCGUUUUAGCAGGAGCCCAUUUUUUCCAAUCUGACUGCUUGUUACUCAAAGAAGACUUAUUAGUAACAAAAGGUGGUUUUGAACUCUUAAAAUUAGAAUUGGAAUUGUUACCUCGGUAAUAUUGUGAAGUAGAGAAUGACCCAAACCUUUGUUCCUUUAAUUGUUGCUCGAUCUCAGUGGCUUUGUGAACUGCUUCUUCCAAAUCAAUAUAAGUUUGUAGCCUCAAUGUAUUAGCUAUCGGCCUGUUCAAACCAUCAAUGAAUCGAACUAUAGUUGUUUCUUCAUCCUCCUCUAUGUUAGCUCUCUGAAUGAGCAUCUCCAUCUCUUUAAAAUAUUCAUCCACCGUCCUACUACCUUGGAUAAGUCUUCUCAGCUUUGUUUUAAUUUCUCUAUAGUAGUGAGGUGGAAUAAACCUUUUAUGCAUAAUCUGUUUCAACUCAUCCCAUGUCGAAAUCUCACCUUCAUAAUUCCGAUGGCGGUUUACCCCAAGUUGAGUCCACCAACUUAAUGCAUAAUCAGAAAAUUCCAGUGUUGCUAACGCUACCUUUUCAUCAUCCGGACAUUUAUAAUACCGAAACAUAAGUUCAAUCUUAGAUUCCCAUUCACAAUAAGCGUCAGGAUCAUUCUUACCACGAAAUUGGGGAAUUGUGAAUUUCGGUUUUGCCAAAGAAGGUUGCCCACGAUCAUGAAAAUCAUCAUUCAUUCUAGUGACACGUCGAGGGCCGCGCCUUUGGGGUUGGUUAUCCCUAUCUUCUUUGAUUGGAUGAGGUUCUUGAUUCAAUCGCACCUCAUUGAUGGUAGCAGUCAAAGCUCGAAGAGCAGCAGCCUGUUCAUCCAACUGUUGUUGGAAUUUUUUAAAUAUGUCACCAUUAUUAUCACCUGUAGACAUUUUUUUUAAAAAAUCUGUAAAACACUCAACACUCAAAAAUAAAAGUUAGCAAACCUCACCGUUAAUCACUCAAAAAGAAAAUUCAAAUUCUCAAUGAGGUAGAAUUCAAUCUUGUGAGUUCUUUAUCAAAGUUUAUAUCAACCAAUUAGAGAGUGGAUGAACCGAUCUACCAAAGAAUCCUAAUGUGCACUAGGAUGCCAAAAACUGACGAGACACCAAUUGAUUCGUGUUGCACCGAGGAAGAAUUGGGCACACGUUUAAAUCCUACUAACACAAAAAACAAGAAGGUGUUAGAUAUUGUAAAGGGAGAAUAAAAAGCAAACAAAUGAAAACCUACAGCUAAGAAUCAAUAAAAAUUGUUGAAAACAGAAAACCCGAAAAACUGCGGAGUAACUUGACAACUUCGUUCGAGGUGUUCCCGAUCUCAAAAAAUCACAAAAUUAAAUCUGGAAUGUCUUCAAAUAUUGAAUUUUUGAUCUGGAAAAUUUGGGCACCAAAUUCAACCCGCUGAAUAUUUUUUUUAAUUUUUUAUUGGAUUUCGUCUUUUUUCAAUUUUUUGACUUUUUUGACUUAUUUUUUUGCGGGAAAUAUUUUUGUAUAUUCAAUAACAGUGCCAAAAAUAUGUAUGUAAAAUUUCAGAUCAAUCAGAAAACGUUUACCCAAUCAAAUGAAUUUUUUUUUGAAAAUUUUUCUGGGUAAAAACUGCUGUUUGUAAUUUAAAAAAUAGAGAUCAGUUUAAAAAUUAACCAAGAACACCCAAAACGCCCAAAAUCUGAUACCAAAUGAUACGGGGUUGCGCGCGGACCAAGAUCGAGUUGCCAAGUCACGAGAAACUCCUAUGAAAACCCUAAACAAUUAGAUCUGAAACGAAACAGAAAAUUAAAAGAUUAGAUUUUUAAAUUUUCAGAUCUGAAAUAAAAUCCCCAAAACAGUAAAGAAUCAAAUAGAGAAUAGAAAUAAGUGUUAAUAAGGAAUCUUGAAACCCUAGAAGAGAUUGCGAUUCUGCCCAAUUGAACACCCAGAUAGUUUUUCCCAAAUUUCGGCAAUCUAAUUUCUCCCAAAAAGAGUAUGGAUGAAUCGGCAAGAACCCUAGAAAUUGGGGAUUUUUGGGCUAAUUCCUUAAGAUAGAAAAAGGCUGAAAACACAAUAAGAACAGAAAAUAAAUUAGAUAAAGAUUCGGCACAAGCAGAAAUAAAGAAAGAAUUGACAAUAAGAAAUUAAAAGAUAAGUCCUAAGAAGCCUUAAAAUCCCGAAAGAUCUCACAACUCCCUUCAAACGGCUCUAAUCUCCCCUCCAAAGAAUAUCAAUGGCAAGAAGAAGGUUGAAGAUGGCUCCCACAAUCAAAAAGAUUGUUAAAACAACUUCUAAAGAAAACUCAAGAGAAAAUCAUUGAAGAACUCAAAGAGAAUUUUCACUCAAAUCAAAUCUGAAAUUUUCAAUGUAAUUGUAAUGUAAUGUAGGGUGGCUGGCCAAGCCAUAUAAAUAGGCCUUUCAAAUGUUUUCCUAAUUUAAUUAGAACACUAAAACUAAAACUAAAAAAAAAAACUCCUAAUUAUUUUAAUAUGGAAAUUCGGCCAAAGGUAUUUUAUUUGGGACUCUUGGACUGAAUAUAAAAAUUUAAACUAAGUAAAAUAAAUAAAUAAAUAAAUAAAAAUAAAACUUUACAACUUGGGCCACUUUGACAAUUUGGCCUGAUUUUCAACUAAGUAUGGGUGGAUUUCUUGAUUGGGCUUGGAAUCUUCUUAUUGGGCCUUGCCCUCAAGAAUUUGGGCUUGUGAUCCAUCUCCUACCGAAAUUGAAUCGUUGAUGCUCGUAAUGGAGAUCCAAUGCGCUUUGGCUGCAAGAUUUGGUGUCUUGGACCAAGAUUCCCAAUAUUUGAAAUCUUGAUUUUCCCUUUCUUUUGUGUAUGCAUCUAAGGCCUUACUAACAAACUCCUGGAUGGUCCCAUUUAGUUUGGAACGCAUUUGUCGGGCCUUUGAUCUCGUAUCAACUAUACUACAAAAACCACUAUCUAUGGAUCAAAUACAUCUCUAACAGCUCAAAGUCAACAAACCAACAAAAAUCAUGAAAAAAAAAGGCAUAGAUUAUGGUUUCAACCAAAUUUGCUGGUUUAAUGCUCAGCAAGAGAUCUCAAAACUGGGGUUUUAAAAUCCAUCCCAGAAACAAAUGCAGGAUCCCAGAUCAGAGGAAUAUAAUUCCCAGCUUACGGUUUGCUAGAAAACCAAACUUCAGCAACAGAUAAUAAGAAACAGAAAACAACCCAGAAUUCCAAUCAGCCGAAUAAAGCCAAAGCUACUCUCCCAGUUCAAAAACAAAUUCAACUUACACAAGUACAAAGCAGAAAGGAAGGAAGAAAGAAGUAAGAACCUUUCAGUUUAUGAUCCUUUGGUAAUAUAACUUGAAAAGCGAGUACGUUCAAGAACAAGACAAUGGAAUAUGAGUCAUAAUGAUGGGAUUUCGAGGUUUUCGAUUCUGUUGUUGUUUUCUUUUAGCUACUGAGAGAUGAAAAUGUCCAGAAGUCAAAACGCAUUGCAAUGGAAAACCAAUGAGAAAGAGAGAGCGGGUUUUUCAAGAAAAAAUUUUGUACUAACAAAACAAUCAAUGAAAAAGUUGAAAUCAAGUCUUUUUCAUUUCACCGGAAAAUUUCAAUCCCGAAUUUUUAUUUGACCAUUAAAAAUAAAUAAAAAUUCUUUACAUGGUGAGAGAAGAAGGUUCUUGGAUUCUGAUUAAAAAACAAAACAUUUUUAAUUCCUGUUUCUAGAAGCUCUGGACUGUCGUUUACUCGUUUAAUCGUUCAUUACAACUCAUCACUUUCGUAUUCGUAUGCUGUUCGAUCUUCAUACAGUAAUUGGAAUAAUAAUAAUAAAUUAAAUUAAUUAUUGAAUAAAUUUAUUUUUAUCUGUGUUUGAGUUCGAUAUGAACUUUUGAUAUAAUAAAUUACAACUUCAAAAAAAUUCAAAAUCAUCUUGACUAAAAUUUUAUUUAAAAAAUUAAAUUAACUGAAAAUUAUGUUUUGUUCUCUUAUUCCAGAUAAAACUUCGUUAACAUAUCAACAAAUCGGACAGAUUAUCAUAUACAACAGAUAAUCCAUAAUAAAGAAUUAUCACUUAAUAUACAAAAAUUUCGAAUUCUUUUAAUAUUAUCUUUUAAAUAUUUUAUAUAUAAAAUUUACAUUUAUCAAAUAAUCUUAUCAUAUUUCCUACUUACUUUUGAAUAUAUACUUAAAUAAAUUUAAUAUUAUUUUUUCAGUUUAUGACACUAACAUUUAAUUUUACAUUUCUCUAUCUUUUUAUAAAAAUUGAUUGAAAUUUGAGUUUAAUUGUUGAAGCCAAUGUCCAUUCAUUCAUCAAUAUAAUCAAAGAUGAAGCUAAGGCAGGGACCAGUCCCCUAAAUAAUUUUGAGGUAAAUUAUUAAAUGGCCAUUCUCAUUAAUAUGUGGAGUCAGGGAAAUGAGAUCACACAAUUUGAAUUUAUAUUAAAUGAAUGUUUAGUGGCAGUUUUAAUUAUUGUUCCGUAUAAGUUAAAAGAUAAUGUUAUUUUAUUAUUAUUAAGUAAUUCUUUUAAGUUAUUUAAUUAUAAAAAAAUAUAAUUAAUUAAGUCUUAGUUCAAUUGAUAUUAGUAUUAUUGUCAACGUAGGAAGAUAUAGGUUCGUUGAAGUUUAUUAUCUUUCAGUUAACUUUUAAUGUUUUAGUUACUUGACCGAUGAUAUGGCAUGUUAAUUUAAGGAUUAAUUUUUAAUUUCAUAUUUGAAUUAUGGAUAAAAUAUUAAUUUAGUACUUUUAGAUUUUUUUAAUAAUAAUUUCAAAAUUAUUUUUAAAAAUCUAAAAGAAUGUUUAAAGGUUAAAAAAAAAAUGACAACAUCAAUCCAUUAUCACAACCCAAACCCACACAGUAAUGCUUUCUUUUUCUCUCUAAUUUUUCAUUUUUUUCAUAUUAUUUAGGAUCAUGUAUAUAUAUAUGCAAAGAUUAUUGAAAUUAUUUAAGGUUUGUUCUAAAAGUUCAAAGACAUGCCCUUACAAUUUCUUUUUUUUUUAAUAUUUUAAAAAAAAUAAAAAAAGUGAGAAGUUAACAUAUGACUUUUUACUGCUAUUAUAUGAAUAAUAUAAUAAGAAGGAACACAAAUAUUAAAAUUGCGACAAGUAGCAUUUUUUUUUGUAUUUAGAUAAAUAUUAAUUAAAUAAAUUAUCUAUUUAGUUUAAAUUAAA
rnacentral:lncRNA from 1 species